AGACAAAUCGAGUCCCUUAUUUUAUUAUUCAUAUCCAUAAAAAGUAACCACUACGCUAGUCCCCCGAACUUAGCAUAAGACGGUAAUUUAAAAAAAGAAAAAAAAAAGAACGUUUCUAGACACCAAAACAAAAGCAAAACAAGCACAAAGCGAGACAUACAAACAAAUUUUAUGCUACUGCAUUCAUGCAGAAGCCAUCAACUGUUCACGACGAAGUUUGACAGCAACCGAUAGUUCAUCCUGAUUAGGAAGAUUUUCUUCAAUCACAGGGACUUGCUUGAAAGUUUCAAGCCAGGCAUGCAAGCGAGGGAAUUUGUGUGAUUCAAAUAGUUUAGCUCCCACUGCAUCUUCAAUGACUUGCAACCAAUAAACAAUUGAACCAAACGCUAGGUCCACUAAGCCAAUAUUGUCUCCAUUGAAAAAUUUCUUCUCUCCCAAGCCAUGCUCUUCAAUGGUUUGUAGCAUUUCCAAGGCUUCCUUCAUUGUGUUUUGUAGUUCUUGUCCAGUGCUUCGAAACAUUUUCCAAACAGCAACACCCUGCCACAAAUAUUUUACAUCUGAUUUUAUCACCGACAUGAUUAAUUAAUAAUAUGCAUAUAAAAGUGAAAUAUCGUUAGACAAUAUGCACACGUGUCACAAGAACCUUUAAUUAGAGGUUUAAUAAGUUAAUUAAGAGAGUUCAACCACUGAGUUGUAAAAUCUGUCAUUAGCUAGUAAAUUCACUUUUUCCCAAUGUUUCAAAAGUCAUCAAAAUUCACCGUCAAGUUAAAAACGGUUAUGUUAACUUUAACUUAUUACAUCUUUUCAUAUUUAAUGAUAAAACAGUGAAGGCACCAGAAAUUGAAAGUUUAGAGAACUUUUUACAAAUAAAUAUGAAGGAGACCCCUGGGUGGCUGGGCUCGACUGGCUAUGAAUUCACUUCCGCCAUCACCCGAGUUCGAGUAUAUAUGGAGAGUAAGAUUUAGUGUUUGGUGGGUGGGUUUCAUUAUCCUCGUCACCUAAUCUAGAUCUUAAAAUAAAAAAAUAAAAAAAUAAAAAAAUAAAUUUGAAAAGAAUGAACUUAAUUACAAACGUGUUUGCUAGUGUUGUGAGCAAACCUUGUCUUCGGCGAAUUUAAUCCAGAAUCGAGCAAGAGCUCUAUCAUAAGGAUUGUUUGGCAUCAAGGGAUUCUGUGGCCACGUCUCUUCGAUGUAUUCGAGAAUAACCAUGGACUCACAAACUGGUUUUCCGCCAUGGACAAGCACUGGGAUCUUCUUGUGAACUGGAUUGUACUUCAAAAGCGAAGCACUUUUGUUUGAGAGAUCUUCUGCAACAAAUUCAUAUGGCACGCCUUUCAAUUUCAGAGCCCAAAUCACCCUGUAAACAAAUGGACUCGGCAGUACUGCCCCAUGAAGCUUCACUUCAGCCAUGAUAAUUCUUAGAUUGAAUUUGAAUAUCAGGUUUUUUGGUCGAUCCUGAGUAUAGCUGAUAACUCAUUACACAUGUUUCUGAAUUUAUAGUGAUUUAUGGAAUGCGCUUUCUUGAGCAGAAAGCUUCGAUUUCCCACUAAUAAAACGAUUAAUUAAUGAUGAAUUCAAAGAACUAGUACGAUGACUUUAAUUAAAUAUUUUUUUACGUUGUGUGCGAGUUAUGUCGGCAUUUCGAGGUUAAUUUAAAAGAUAUUAUUUUCUUCUGAUCUAAAUUUUUAUAUAAAAAUAUAGUUAUUAAAUAGAAAUAAAAUAUAAAAUAAAUAUUGACUGUAUAUAAAUAAAAAAUUCAUACAUGUUAAAAAGAUUUUUUAAAACUCAAAUAAAUGGAUCCAAUUCCUAAUUUUAAAGGCUAGCCAAUGAGAUCAUUGAUUUGGUCAACCAGUCAGAGACAACCAUUCAAUAAUUAGUCAAAAUUUUGCCAUUUAUUUUACAUUUAAGACUUUUGCGUCAUGCAUGAUGAUCAAUUGAUCAUGGAUCAAUUAGUCAACAAGACAUUUGCCUUUUGUGAAUGUGUUCACAUUGGACGCAAAUAUAAUUUGUUAUAAAAAAAUUGGACUAAAUUACAAUUUUUUUUUAAUAAUACACCUGAUCCUAGAGGACCUGUUAUUUAGUUCGUGAAUCUUAUAACAGGAUCCAUGAUUAUUAUUUUUUAAAUCUUAUGGGUCCCCUAUUAUUUAAGGGAAAUUUAUGAAAAUAAUCAUGAAUAUUUUGUUAUUUUCACAACUAACCCUCUCAACUUUUUUCUAUCAACAUUAGCCAAACACAAGUCUUUCUUCCCAAAUUACCCUUCUUUACAGACCAAAAGCAACAAUCUUUCUCCCAUAUCGUCAAACCAAACGCAGCUUAAUCAUCAACCAACGGCGACGGCAAAAGACAACGGUAAAAGUGAAAUCCGAUCAUAAUCUAUCCGAAUCCAACACUAAUCGGCAUCACUUAAUAGUAUGAGUUAUUUUCUGAACUUGCUGAACUGAGUCGUGGGUGAAUCUGGCGACAGGCAACCUGUCGCACCAAGAGUUGGUGCGACAGGCACCUGUCGCACCUUGCUUGGUGCAACAGGCACCAAUUAAAAAAAAAAACAAACUUGAGAAUUAUGUAUGACGUGAGCCCAUAGCCAGUUGAACCCAAUUUUCACUUUCCAAUAUUAUAUGUGUUGAACGAACUUUAUGUGUAAGAGGCCCCACGCGAUUUCAUGUUAGUCUCAGAGGGUUUAUAGUUAUAUACCAUGGCUUCUUUAUCAAUCAACACAUGCAUGUAAAGAGAGAUUUGAAAAAACAAGAGUCAGUUUGAUAGAGAGUCUAGUGUUUCUUAAAAAUUAGCAAAACAAAUGUCAGUUGAUAGCCAAUGCAACAAAGAAGCCGUAAUUUUUGGAAACCGCGUAAUCAUUUUUUUUGUAAUAUUUGUUCGAUUUACAUUUUCAAAGUAACUAAACCCUCUGAGUUCAAGCUCACGCCAUUCUUGAACCAUCGCACAACAGCAACACAUGAGAUGAGUUAAGAAGUCAUCGCACGAACCGCCCUGCAAAAUAGAUUUAAGUCGAGAGGUUCUUUCAUUUUUAAUCAUCAUAAUCGAGGCCUCAGAAUUCACCUAAAAUGGGGAAGAAGGCACCUGAAUGUUGAAAGUUUCUCGCAAUUUUGUCCUUAUGCAACAGCUAUAACAGCAACAUCCGCAGAAGAUAAAAUAUGCCAUGAGAGUAUUGAUUGCUUGCUCACGAGCUGUAGCAACAAUUGAACAGGCAGCUUCAUCAGAAUCUUGUUGGAUUUACACUACUACAUUGACAAUUGCAUAAUGAUACUCUAUCCGCUUACAUAUUUUCCCUUCUGUCACUGCAUUAGCUAUCUUUGAAAAUGUUCCACAGGGAUAUAUGCAAGUCUUCAAGCCUGACUCUUGUUUUUUCUGACAUUUGCAGAGGGUAUUACAGGUACUCCAAAAAAUUGGUGCGACAGGCGCGCGCCUGUCGCCCCAAAGCUGGUGCGACAGCGGGGCGCGCAUGGGCGCGCGCUGCUGUCCAGCGAUGGGCGCGCGCGCGCGCCCUGCCCCCCUCCCUCCCCACCCCCAAAAUUAAGCCACAACACUCCAAAAUCGAAAAACAAUACUCCCAAACACCACCAACCACCACAAACAUCACCACCACCACCAUUAUUCUCAAGGUAUAACUAUUAUUAUUCUAAAAUCUCAUUUUAAAUUAAUGAAAAUAAAAAAAAUAACUAACCUAGGUUUUGUUGAAGGUUGUAGAUCGUAGAUCGGAUGCCGGUGAGAGAUGGAGCCGCCGCCGACGAGGGUUGAUGUCGCCGCCGAUGAUGGGAGUUGGAUCGGUUUGGGAGAGAUGAGUGAAAGGGAGUGUUGGGGGAGAGAUGAGGGAGGGGUAUUUUGGUCUCAAAAGUUAUUUUAUGGCUAAUGUUGAUAGAAAUAUUUUUGGGGGGUUAAGAUGAAAAAAAGCAAAAAAUUUUUGGUUAUUACUGUAAAUUUCCCAUUAUUUAAUUUGUGGAAUUGACGGAGGUAACUUGCAGUUUCAUUUUUGUAAUUUACAGCUUUCAAUAAAUUCAGAUAAUAUUAGGCAGUAAAAGUCGGCCAGGUUGGAGGAGUAGAUCUAUAAAAUUUGCUAGCACUUUGCACUAUCUGUUUGGGCCUUGGGGCCCAGAAACACACAUAUAUAUCAUCCACUUUUUAUUUAACGCUGGGUUUUUAUUACCCAUAAUAGUUUCUCUUUGUACAUCCACUUUUUAAUAAAAAAAUUUAUUGUCAAGAUAACUUUUUAUUAAUUACUUCACUAAUCCUUCUUUUUUUUUUGGCCAAUUUCUCUUUCGCAUCCGACAAAAUUUAAUUCACAUCAUGUGCUGGUAUGAUUGUAAAUAAAUUUGAAGUUAUCUCUCACAAGUUGUUCAAAAAUACAUAGACAUAUCAUGUGUAUAGAACUAAAGAACAAUAGCAACCCACUAUCCUCUAGGCGAUCGCUGCUAUUAGGACGGCAAAAUUUGCCGUCAAUAUGUAAAUUUUGUAGAUUGCAGGUAAAUUUGGUAUUUUAAAUUUAAGUUCAUUGCAGGUUACAAAUGGAUUCAGUAUUGAGAAAAAAAUCUGGCGGGUGUUUGCCGACCCACAUUUUUUUUAAUUAUUUGUGUUUUUAAUUUUAAUCACAAAGAUUGUCUUAAAAAAAUUUAAUCAUAAAAAUAUAAUAGUUAAAGUUAUUACUCUAAUCUUUCAAAUUCCUAAACCUAACCUAACUCAUUACAGUUACACACCCUACUCCUUCAAGUAUGUAUGAAUGUAAAUGUAUAGCUGUAUACACACGCACACACACAAAAAAUAAGCUUUUAAUAAGUAGAUUUAGUAUUUUUCAAGUUUAAUAUUAAUGAUAUUUUAAUUUAAUUUAAUUACUUUUGUUUGUUUCGCUUUAAUGACUUGAACUUAGUGAUUGCUGGCUAAGAUUGAAUUUUUAUUUGUCUAAUUAAUGGUCAAUAGUUGUCCAAAAUAUAUUUGUUAAUAUUGUUAACAAUACUUGUAUAUUAACUAAAAGAUAGAGCAAGGCAUUAAUCUUAGUAAUGAUUAUUUGCCUACAACAAAAUUAUUUUGUGUUAGAAUGAUAUAUUUUUUGUAUUUGUUUUAAUAUUGAAACUUUAAUUUCUCUUUUACAUUGAUAAAAUCUAAAAUUGAGUAAUUUAUGUAGAUUUUUUAGGUUGCUACUAUAAAAUUAUAUUUUGAAUUAUGUAAUUCAAAUUAUUAGAUAUAAUUUUUUUUAAUAUUUGUGAUUUUAAAUAUAAAUAUCUACAAAAAAAAAACCGCCUGCGUGUUGUGGAUGGAUUUACUAAUUAUUAAAAAUUAUAGCGAACGAACUUAAAAAAAAAAAAAAAAAAAGGCAACUGGUUACUGGCCAGUUUAAUAAUGACAAACCCAUAAUAAGCGAUACUCAUUACCAUCAGCAGCUUCUAUUACGGAGGGCCGGGGGCGGUCUUGAAUUGUUAGAAGUUGCAACAUUAAUUAGCAAAAUUUUCAGCGGCAUCCCUGAAGUAUAGCAUAGAAUUAGAUAUAUCCCCUUGUUUUCAAAAAGUUAGUCUCUGAUACCCAUGUUGUUUACUUAAUUUUUUUUUUCCAUUUCAAUUGGAUAUACAACUUCGUAAUGUUGCGCCUUGUAAAAUGUAUGCUUAAAAUGCGUGCUUCUUAUUUUUUAUAUACUGCUAAGAGAAGUUGAGAAUAGAAAUAUAUAAAAUGGAGUCUCAUUUAUUAAUUAUUUAUAUCCACUAAAUAGCUCUUUGAAGCUCACUUCAAUAGUAAAAUUAAUUAAACAAAAUAGAAAGAAUAUUUUUAACACCAGUACAAAAACAUAACAAGUGUAAAAGAAGACUCACAAACUUAUUUUAUGAUAUUACAUUCACACAAGUACCACCAAUGUUUUCCGACCACGUUCGAAAGAGAUCACCAGCUCACGCUGAUUUGGAAGAUUUUCUUUAAGUAUAUAAGUUAAAGUUAUUACUCUAGUCUUCAAAAUUCUUAAACCUAAUCUAACUCAUUACAGCUGCAUGCCUUACUCCUAGUAUAUGCAUGCCUUGCUCCUUCUAGUAUCCGUAUGUAUUUUAAGAUGGAUACAUUAACUUUUUAAUAAGUAAAAUUUUGUACUUUUCAAGCUUAAUAUGAAUGAUAUUUUAUUUUAAUUUAAUUACUUUGAAAUAUUUUGCUUUAAUGACUUGAACAUAUAGAUUGUUUGCUAAAGUUAAAUUUUUCUUUGUCUAAUUAAUUGGUGAUAAGAGUUGUAUAAAAUUUACUUAAAAUUAUGAUAAGAGCUUAUGAGAUUAAAUAAGUACUUAUAACCAUUAAAUAAAUCUUACCAAACAAACACUUAGUAAUAACAAAUCUGCAGCAGCCAAUACCCAUUACCAUCCCCAGCUGCUAUAAUGCAAGGACACGGGCGGUCUUAAUUGUUAGAAGGUGCAAAAUUAAUUAGCAAAAUGUUCAGCGGCAUCCUUGAAUUUUAGCAUAGAAUUAUAUAUAUCCCCUAGUUUUCAAAAUUAAUUUUUGAUUUCCCUGUAUAUAUAUAUAUAUAUAUAUAUAUAUAUUUCAAUUGGAUAUAUAACUUUGUAAUGUUGCGCCUUAUAAAAAUGAAUGCUUAAAAUGCAUGCUUAUUACUUUUUAUAUGAUGUUAAGAGAAACUGAGAAUAGAAAUAUGUAAAAUGGAGUUUCAUUUAUUAAUUAUUUAUAUUCAUUAAAUAGCACCCAACAUGGAGUUUGUCUCAAUAGUAAAAUUAAUUAAACAAAGUAGAAGGAUCUGUUUUAGCAACAGUACAAAAAUAAAACAAGCACAAAGUGAGAAUCACAAACUUAUUUUAUGAUAUUACAUUCACGCAGAUGUCACCAAUGUUUCCCGACGACGUUUGAAAGCGAUCACCAUCUCAUGCUGAUUUGGAAGAUUUUCUUUAAUUACAGGGAAUUUCCUGAAAUUUUCAACCACUCAUGCAAGCUUGGGAAUUUGUGAGAUUCAAAUAGUUUCACUCCCAUUACAAUUUGUGAGAUUCAGAUAGGGUCCCACCUAACCCCACUUUUUUGGUGGUUAAAAAAAAAAUCAGGGAUCAAACCUAGGUCAUCAAGGUGAAACAUCAAAUAGGUUGUAAAUUUAACAUAUGAAUGUAAAAGCUUAACAAAACAUUUGAUGAAGUUGCUUCACAACAUAGAAAUACAAGCAAAAAGAGAUGCUAAACAACACAAAAAUUUGAUUGGGGGGGAGUAUUGUUCAUGCUAGCAUAAUAAUGAGGUGCCUGAGAAUACCUAAGACUUUCUUGAUAAAUAAUAUCAUCUAAAAGGUUAGGAAUCACAUAUGAUUGUCCACGUAUGAACAAAUAGGGAUGGCAAAAGUCCUAGUUGGGUUCGGGUUUGGGGUUGCCCGGGACCGACCCGCAUGAUACACAUAGCUGUCUGGACCCGGACCGUGCCCAGAUUUUUCAUAUGCGGGCCGGAUUAAGCCCGACACUAUCCGAGCACGGAUUUUUUUAUCCGGGUUUCCUCUGCCCAUAUAAAUUGAAUUAAAAGGGAAGAAAUCCUGUAAUAAAUUAUUACAACAUCUUAAUUAUUUCAAUCUACUUUGUAAAUUUGAAGUAAAUAAAAUUCAUUCAAUCUCUUCCUAAAUUCAUUCAUUUCAAUCUCCAUCAAAAACUUAAAUUAAGUAGCAUAAUAAUUACAAUUGACAAAUAAAAUACCAACUAUCAAUAUAAUAUAUGAAAAUUUUAAAAUAUCAAACAACAAAGAACAAACUAACAAGACGGUUGCUGCACAAACAUGGCUAUGAUGUGGAGGUGUUGUGCACGGUGGGUCACGGACCAAAUCUAAGAAGUGGGAAAAGAGAGAGAGAAAAAAGAAGAAACAAGAAUAAGAAUAAGAAAAUAUUUCUAUUAAUUUAUUCUUGGAUUGAGAUUUAAGGUUUCUUUGUGCGUUUGAAAAGGAGGGGUGAGGGUUGUUGCUGCUGGGCGUUGGCUACUUGGCUUGGAGAGUUGAAGAUGAGGGAGUUGACUUGGAGUGUUGAAGGGGAGGGAGCGGCGGCUUUGGGAGUGUAAGUUUAUGAGAGUUUUAGGGUUUGUAAAUGUAAUGUGAUAUAUAUAUUUUUAUUUUAUUUUUUAAAAUUAAAAAAUUUUAACCGGGCGUUGAUCCGGGUUCUGGGUUUUUGGGGUUCUGCCCGGAUCCGUGCCCGGAAUUAUCCGGGUAUUAAUUUCCAAAACCCGGAACCGGUUUCUUUUUUAAUACGGGCCGGGUAAAACCCAGACCGUAUGAGCUGGGUCCGGUCCGGAUCCAGACCGGGCGGAUUUUUUUGCCACCUCUAUGAACAAACCUUGCUCAAAAUGUGAAAUGUGUUAAGAUUUUCAAACAUUUAAAUUAAUAAUUAAUAAUUUCAGACAAAGGAUACUUAGAGACCCUAAAGUUCACUAAUUUUAUGUUAUGACUCAUUGUCUCUCUCAACAAUUUAAUUUCUAGAUUAUUUGGCUCCUAUCUAUUAAAAGACAACACCGUUACUAAAAUUAUAAAUUAUAACAGUUAAACCUAAACCUACAUCGUUUAGCAAUUUACAAAAGAAAAAAUAUAUAACAAAAGCCAAUUGUUGGAGUAGCAACGUGCCAACGAGAAAACCUCAAGCCAUGUAAUAUCCUGUGUCAACAACUAAAGAAGAACAAACCACCACCCUCUAGGUCGUCGCUGCACUAACGCUGGACCCGAUUUGAAUAGUUAGAAGUUGUAACAUUAAUUAGAGAUUGAGGGUAAAAUUUUGGACUUUGAUUUAAUAAAAUUGAUUUAAAUGAGUCCCAAUAGAAAUAUGAUUAUAAAUAUAUCAAUACAAUUAUAACAUGUUAAAAGAAAAAAAGUUUAGUUUCACACAAAACAAAAAACACAACCCUUGGAUGUGGGAUGUGUCUAAAAAAUAAUAGGGUGGAAAUAUUAUCACCCUCAAAUUAGAUAUAUAAAUGUUUAAUGUUUUACUCUUAUAAUUUGUAUUUAUUUUUUUGAAUAUUGUUAAGAGAAAGAUAGAAAUUAAUAUAUAGACAAAUCGAGUCCUUUUUUUAUUAUUCAUAUCCAUAAAAAGUAACCACUAUGCUAGUCCCACGAACUUAGCAUAAGACGGUAAUUUAGAAAAAAGAAAAAAAAAAGGAACGUUUUUAGACACCAAAACAAAAGCAAAACAAGCACAAAGCGAGACAUACAAACAAAUUUUAUGCUACUGCAUUCAAGCAGAAGCCAUCAACUGUUCACGACGAAGUUUGAGAGCAACCAAUAGUUCAUCCUGAUUAGGAAGAUUUUCUUCAAUCACAGGGACUUGCUUGAAAGUUUCAAUCCAGGCAUGCAAGUGAGGGAAUUUGUGUGAUUCAAAUAGUUUAGCGCCCACUAUAUCUUCAAUGACUUGCAACCAAUAAACAAUUGAACCAAACGCUAGGUCCACUAAGCCAAUAUUGUCUCCAUUGAAAAAUUUCUUCUCUCCCAAGCCAUGCUCUUCAACUGUUUGUAGCAUUUCCAAUGCUUCCUUCAUUGUGUUUUGUAGUUCUUGUCCAGUGCUACGAAACAUUUUCCAAACAGCAACACCCUGCCACAAAUAUUUUACAUCUGAUUUUAUCACCGACAUGAUUAAUUAAUAAUAUGUAUAUAAAAAGUGAAAUAUCGUUAGACAAUAUGCACACGUGUCACAAGAACCUUUAAUUAGAGGUUUAAUAAGUUAAUUAAGAGAGUUCAACCACUGAGUUGUAAAAUCUGUCAUUAGCUAGUAAAUUCACUUUUUCCCAAUGCUUCAAAAGUCAUCAAAAUUCCCCGUGAAGUUAAAAACGGUUGUGUUAACUUUAACUUAUUACAUCUUUUCAUAUUUAAGGAUAAAACAGUGAAGACACCAGAAAUUGAAAGUUUAGAGAACUUUUUACAAAUAAAUAUGAAGGAGACCCCUGGGUGGCUGGGCUCGACUGGCUAUGAAUUCACUUCCGCCAUCACCCGAGUUCGAGUAUAUACGGAGAGUAAGAUUUAGUGUUUGGUGGGUGGGUUUCAUUAUCCUCGUCACCUAAUCUAGAUCUUAAAAUAAAUAAAUAAAUAAACAAAUUUGAAAAGAACGAACUUAAUCAUAAACGUGUUUGCCAGAGUUGUGAGCGAACCUUGUCUUCAGCGAAUUUGAUCCAAAAUCGAGCUUGAGCCCUAUCAUAAGGAUUAUUUGGCAUCAAGGAGGGAUUCUGUGGCCACGUCUCUUCGAUGUAUUCGAGAAUAACCAUGGACUCACAAACUGGUUUUCCGCCAUGGACGAGCACUGGGAUCUUCUUGUGAACUGGAUUAUACUUCAAAAGCAAUGCACUUUUGUUUGAGAGAUCUUCGGAAACAAAUUCAUAUGGUACGCCUUUCAAUUUCAGAGCCCAAAUCACCCUGUAAACAAAUGGACUCGGCAGGGCCCCAUGAAGCUUCACUUCAGCCAUGAUAAUUCUAAGAUUGAAUUUGAAUUAUCGGUUUUUCUGAUCGAUGUUGUGUAUGGCUGUUAACUCAUUACAUAUGUUUCUGAAUUUAUAGUGAUUUAUGGUAUGCACUUUCUUGAGCAGAAAGCUUCAAUUUUCCAUUAAUAAAACGAUUAAUGAUGAAUUCAAAGAACUAGUGCGAUGACUUUAAUUAAAUAUUUUUUUACGUUGUGUGCAACCGCUUUUUGAGGUUAAUUUAAAGGAUAUUAUUUUCUCCUGAUCAAAACUUUUAUAUAAAAAAAUAUACAAUAAUGCUACACAUCCCAAAUUUUUUAUCCCAAAAAGUUAUCCCAAAUGAUGUGGCAUUUAUCAAUUGGUUGGUGAAAUAAUACAAUUAGUUCACUUGGAUAUUAUAAAUAAUUAUCAACCACUCAAUUAAUGACACAUCAUUUGGGAUAACUUUUUGGGAUAAGAAAUUUGGGAUGUGUAACAUUAUUGAAAAACAUAAUUAUGUAAUUGGUAGUUAUUAAGUAGAAAUAAAAUAAAAAUUAAAUUUUGACCGUAAAUAAAUAAAAGUUCAUAUAUGUUAUAAAGAUUUUUUAAAACGCUAGCCAAUGAGAUCAAUAAUUUGGUCAACCAGUCAGAGAUAACCAUACAAUAAUUAAUCAAAAUUUUGCCAUUUGUUUUACAUUUAAGACCUUUGCGUCAUGCAUGAUGAUCAAUUGAUCAUGACAUGGAUCAAUUAGUCAACAAGACAUUUGCCUUUUGUGCAUGUAUCCACAUUGGACACAAAUAUAAUUUGUUAUAAAAAAAUUGGACUAAAUUAUUUUUUAAUAUAUUUUUUUAAAAUAAUACAUUUGAUCCUAGAGGGCCUGUUAUUUAGUUCGUGAAUCUUAUAACAUGACCCAUGAUUUUUUUUUUAAAAAAAAUCUUAUGGGUCCCCUAUUAUUUAAUUUGUGGAAUUGACGGAGGUAACUUACAGUUUCAUUUUUGUAAUUUACAGCUUUCAAUAAAUUCAGAUAAUAUUAGGCGGUAAAAGUCGGCCAGGCUGGAGGAGUAGAUCUAUAAAAUUUGCUAGCACUUUGCACUAUCUGUUUGGUGCCCAGAAACACACAUAUAUAUCAUCCACUUUUUAUGUUAAGACUUUUAAGUCUUUAAUCACAGCAAGACUCACAAAUCUUGAUGAGUAGAAACACCAAGAACACAAUCCAAUCAAGAAAGCCAGAACAGAGAAGCUAUACCAGAAACAAAACAAAGACACAGACCAGCAAACUUAGAAGGAAAAUUUACUCAUUAUUAUUGAUCAAGAACUAACCCAAUCACAAGUGAUUUACAGAAGAUUAUGCACAGAUCACAAUGGAACAGAUUCUAUGCAAAAUGAUGAACUAAUGAAGACGAUAUUAGCUCUCUAUCAGGCACCACCCAUCAGCCUCUGUUUUAUAUCAGUGUGCUGGGCUCGUUAUAACAGAUUAUAACGAAUCCAUGCCACGUCAGCAGACGAUAUCAAAUAGACCCCAUCAACUGAAGUCAAUCUGCACAACAACUCACAACUUUUCCAGUUUCUUCAUUUCAGUCCACAUACACAUAUCUUCACAUUUUAUUUAGCGCUGGGUUUUUUUCGACCCAUAAUAAUUUCUCUUUGCACAUCAAGUUUUUAAUAAAAACUUUUAUUGUCAAGAUAAAUUGUUAGUAAUUACUUCACUAAUCCUCCUUUUUUUUUGGGCCAAUUUCUCUUUCGCAACUGACAAAAUUUAAUUCACAUCAUGUGAUAGUAUGAUUACAAAUAAAAUGAAGUUAUCUCUCGCAAGUUGUUCAAAAAUACAUUGACAUAUCUUGUGUAUAUAACUAAAGAACAAUACCAAAACCACUAUCCUCUAGCUGAUCGCUGCUAUUAGGACGGCAAAAUUAGUCGUAAAUAUGUAAAUUUGUAAAUUUGUCUAAACCCAUCUACAAAAAUCUUUCCACUGCGAAUAAUUUUGUAGGUUGCGGAUAAGUUUGAUAUUUUUAAUUUUAGUUCGUUGCAGGUUACGGAUGGAUUCAGUAUUGAGAAAAAAAUUGGCAGGUGUCUGCCGACUAGCAUUUUUUUAAUUAUUUAUGUUUUUAAUUUUAAUCACAAAGAUUGUCUUAAAAAAAUUUAAUCAUAAAAAUAUAGUAGUUAAAGUUAUUACUCUAAUCUUCCAAAUUCCUAAACCUAACCUAACUCAUGACAGUUGCACACCCUACUCCUUCAAGUAUGUAUGUAUGUAAAUGUAUACACACGCACACACACACAAAAUUAGCUUUUAAUAAGUAGAUUUAGUAUUUUUCAAGUUUAAUAUUAAUGAUAUUUUAAUUUAAUUUAAUUACUUUUGUUUGUUUCGCUUUAAUGACUUGAACUUAGUGAUUUCUGGCUAAGAUUGGAUUUUUAUUUAUCUAAUUAAUGGUCAAUAGUUGUCCAAAAUAUAUUUGUUAAUAUUGUUGACAAUACUUAUAUAUUGACUAAAAGAUAGAGCAAGGCAUUAAUUUUAGUAAUAAUUAUUUGCCUACAACAAAAAUAUUUUGUGUUAGAAUGAUAUAUUUUGUGUAUUUGUUUUAAUAUUGAAACUUUAAUUUCUCUUUUACAUUGAUAAAAUCUAAAGUUGAGUAGUUUAUGUAGAUUUUUUAGUAUGUUACUAUAAAGUUAUAUUUUGAAUUAUAUAAUUUAAAUUAUUAAAUAUAAUUUUUUAAUAUUUAUGAUUUUAAAUAUAAAAAUUUAUUAAAAAAAAAAACUACUACAUGUUAUGGGUGGAUUUGCUAAUUAUUAAAAAUUAUAGCGAACGAACUAAAAAAAAAAAGAGGCAACCGGUUACGGGCGAAUUUAAUAAUGACAAACCCAUAAUAAGCGAUACCAUUACCAUCGGCAACUUCUAUAACGCAGGGCCGGGGGCGGUCUUGAAUUGUUAGAAGUUGCAACAUUAAUUAGCAAAAUUUUCAGCGGCAUCCCUGAAGUUUAGCAUAGAAUUAGAUAUAUCCCCUUGUUUUCAAAAUUAGUCUCUGAUUCCCAUGUUGUUUACUUAAUUUUUUUUUUUUUUUCAUUUCAAUUGGAUUUAUAACUUCGUAAUGUUGCGCCUUGUAAAAUGUAUGCUUAAAACGCGUGCUUCUUAUUUUUUAUAUACUGCUAAGAGAAUUUGAGAAUAGAAAUAUAUAAAAUGGUGUCUCAUUUAUUAAUUAUUUAUAUCCUCUAAAUAGCACCUAACAUGCAAGCUCACUUCAAUAGUAAAAUUAAUUAAACAAAAAAAAAGCAUUUUUAACGCCAGUACAAAAACAUAACAAGUGUAAAGGAAGACUCAUUAACUUAUUUUAUGAUAUUAAAUUCACACAGAUACCAUCAAUGUUUCUCGACAACGUUUGAAAGAGACCACCAACUCACGCUGAUUUGGAAGAUUUUCUUUAAGUAUAUAAGUGAAAGUUAUUACUCUAGUCUUCAAAAUUCUUAAACCUAAUCUAACUCAUUACAGCUGCAUGCCUUUCUCCUUUUAUUAUAUGUAUAUAUUUUACGAUGAAUACAAUAACUUUUAAUAAGAAGAAUUUUAUACUUUUCAAGCUUAAUAUUAAUGAUAUUUUAUUUUAUUUUAAUUACUUUGAAUUGUUUUGGUUUAAUGACCUGAACAUAUUGAUUGUUUGCUAAAGUUGAAUUUUUAUUUGUCUAAUUAAUUGACGAUAGCAAUUGUGUAAAAUUUACUUAAAAAGAUAAAAUCUUAGUAGAUUACAAAAAGAUUUAGUAAUGACAAACAUGUAGCAGCCAAUACACAUUACCAUCCCCAACUGCUAUAAUGCAGGGCCAUGGGCAGUCUUAAUUGUUAGAAUGUGCAAAAUUAAUUAGUAAAAUGUUCAGCAGUAUCCUUGAAUUUUAGCAUAGAAUUAGAUAUAUCCCCUAGUUUUCAAAAUUAGUUUUUGAUUCCCCUGUUGUUUACUUUAUAUAUAUAUAUAUAUAUAUUUCACUUGGAUAUAUAACUUUGUAAUGUUGCGCCUUAUAAAAUGUAUGCUUAAAAUGCAUGCUUAUUACUUUUUAUAUGCUGUUAAGAGAAAUUGAGAAUAGAAAUAUGUAAAAUAGAGUUUCAUUUAUUAAUUAUUUAUAUCCAUUAAAUAGCACCCAACAUGUAGUUCGUCUCAAUAGUAAAAUUAAUUAAACAAAGCAGAAAGAUUUGUUUUAGAAUCAGUACAAAAAUAAAAAAAGCACAAAGCGAGAAUCACAAACUUAUUUUAUGAUAUUACAUUCACGCAGAUGUCACCAAUGUUUCCCGACGAUGUUUGAAAGUGAUCACCAUCUCAUGCUGAUUUGGAAGAUUUUCUUCAAUUACAGGUACUUUCCUGAAAUUUUCAAACCACUCAUGCAAGCUUGGGAAUUUGUGAGAUUCAAAUAGUUUCACUCCCAUUACAUCUUCAAGGACCUGCAACCAAUAAGCAAUGGCUCCAAAUGCUAGGUCCGCUAAGCCAAUAUUGUCUCCAUUGAAAAAUUUCUUCUCUCCUAGGCCAUGUUUUUCAACGGUUUGAAGCAUUUCCAAGGCUGCCUUCAUUGCAUUCUCCAGGUCUUGUCCAGUGCUGAAAAACAUUUUCCAAACAGCUACUCCCUGCCACAAGAUUUUAUAUCUAAUUCUUAUCACCACAUGAUUAAUAAUAUAUAUGAGGUAAAAAGAAAUUAGAUAAUAUGUACACACGCGUCAAAGUAUCUUUUAAAGCCUAGACGUUUCAAACUGUCAAAGUAUUUAGGAGAGUUUAUCCACUAAUUUUUAGACUAGUUUAGUAUAACUUUUUAGAACUUAUUUAAGUAGAAUUUUUAUUAGUAAAAUUUUAAUUUUUAUAAAAAAAUUAAUUAUUUAAUUGUUAAUGAAAUUUUUUUAAAAUUAUUUUAAUAGACAAAUUUUUAAAGUUAUGUUAUGAAAUAAAUAAAAUAAGAUUAUAAAAUAAAUGAUGAAUAUUUUAAACAAUUUAACUUUUAAAAAAAUCCUCAACCCUCUAUUUCUAAAAGUGUAAAUUCAAACUUUUACUAAUAUAAGCAAAAGAAUUUAUUUAAUCCCAAAAAGCUCUACUAAAAAUAAAACUAAAAAAUAAUAAAAAUUUUGAAAAGAGUUUUUUUUUUAAUUAAAUAAACAGGUAUGAGUAAUAAAUAAGCCAUAUCAAACAAAUACUUAAUGAAAUAAAAGGAAAAAGAUUAAAAAAAAUCCUCUUAUUGUUUUAGUAAAUUAUAAUUUUGCUUUCAUGUUUCAAAAGUCCUUGAAAUUCCCCUUGUCGCUAAAAUUAUAUUUUAAUAUUUUACCCUUGAUGCAGUAAAAUCCACGGUUAAUUAAGAAAAAUUUCUAAAGAUAAAAAAUUUAAAGUAAUUAACCGAUUUUUUUUUUAUAAAUCUCUAAUGUAAAAUAAAAGGUCCAUUGAGCUUCGUCGGCCGUGAAUGCAUUUUGCACAUGCGAGGACAUUAGUUUGAGCAUUAAUAGAAGAUAAAAAUUAAUGUUUAGAGAGUCAUAUUUCUCAUAUACAAUGAAAAAUUAAUUAAAUUUAUAAACGUGUUGGCAAGAAAAGUUGCGAUGCGAACCUUGUCUUCGGCAAAUUUAAUCCAAAAACGAGCUUUAGCUCUAUCAUAAGGAUCACUUGGCGUCAAGGAGGGAUUGUGUGGCCACAUCUCUUCAAUGUAUUCGAGAAUAACCAUGGACUCGCAAACUGGUUUUUCGCCAUGAACGAGCACUGGUAUCAUCUUGUGAACUGGGUUAUACUUCAAAAGCGAAGCACUUUUGUUGUAGAGAUCUUCUUCAAUGUAUUCAUACGGGAUGCCUUUCAAUUUCAGAGCCCAUACCACCUUGUUGCUAAAUGGACUCGCCCAUCCCCCGUGGAGCUUCACUUCAGCCAUGUGUCUCAGAUCGAAUUUGAAUAUGUUUGUGGUUGUUUUGCUUAGCUGAUGAGUUAUUGCAUACGUACAUCUGAAUUUAUAAUGAUUAAUGUUGGAAUGUCGAGUGCGCUUGCUUGAGCAGGGAGCUUCAUAUUUCCAAUUUAUUUAAUAAAACGAUUAAAUUAAGUUGAAUUCAAUGAGCUAAUGCUGCGACUUUUUAACAAUUCUGUUAUAUAUUCAACGAGAAGAGGUAUCGUAUUUGACGGGAAUCUCUUGAAACAGUGCUGAAUUAACAAGUAAUCUUAUUUAAUUUGGUCAACUGGUCAGAUGUGGAUUAAUUAUAUGUUUGGCGUUUGUUUUAGGUGCCCAGCUAGCCCUGCUGCUGUGUUUUUGACUUUACUAUGGGGUGGAGUCGUGGAGAUAUCAUCAUCCCAACUGAAGACAUAUUAUGAUAUUCUCCUGAAAACUUUGUGAGACUCAUUUACUUUACAAUUUUAGCAUUUUAGGCCCAAUAACUUCAUAUAUAUGACGUUUUGUCCCCCGGCUCCACCUCUUCUUUAUAAAUCCGAACACCUGAAAAAUGACGAGACCGGAACAACUCUCCGUCUUAAGUCUAUGCAAAUUUUACACACAAGAGAAAGAGAGGGAGAGGGGCGGCCAUGAGAGACAACGAUACAGAAAAGAAUAUGGAAAAGAGUUUAUUAAUACCAAAAGAGAGUUUAUCAUCAACAUCCACAACAUGGGAUUUGUUGAGUGGAGAAGUGAAAAAGCAGGGUUACAUAGCAGCACCAAUGGUGGCUGUAACUUUAUCACAGUAUUUGCUUCAAGUUGUUUCCAUGAUGAUGGUUGGUCAUCUUGGUCAACUUGCUCUUUCUAGCACCGCCAUGUCCAUCUCUCUAGCUAGCGUUACCGGCUUCAGCGUCCUUGUGAGUCCUAUAAUCCAUAUAUAGUUAUAUACACAAUAUUGUUUAUUCUUUCUUUUGAUAGGUAUUUGCAUCAUUGCAUGUGGGAUUUAAACAAAUAGAUAUGCCAAAUUUCUGAUGUUAAAAAACAUGCAAUUAACUUAUACCCUGUUAGUAAAAAUGCCAUUAAUUUUUAAAGGACUUGAUUUGCUUUUUUUUUUAAAAAAAAUAUAUUCUACAGCUAACUUGAAUUGUGUAAUAUUUUCUUUGAAACAGUUAGGAAUGGCAAGUGCUCUGGAAACAUUAUGUGGGCAAGCAUAUGGAGCUCAGCAGUAUCAAAGAAUUGGAACUCAAAUUUACACUGCAAUAUUUUGUUUAUUCUUAGUAUGUUUUCCGCUUUCCUUUCUAUAGAUUUACAUGGGAAGGCUGCUAGUUUUGGUGGGCCAAGACCCCCAGAUUUCACAUGAAGUAGGCAAGUUUAUAAUCUGGCUUCUUCCAGCUCUGUUUGCUUAUGCAGCAAUGCAGGCGCUUAUUCGAUAUUUUCAGUCUCAAAGUUUGAUCAUUCCCAUGUUCUUAAGCUCCUAUGCCGCUCUUUGUUUGCAUAUUCCCAUCUGUUGGGGUUUGGUAUUCAAGUCUGGACUAGGGAACCUUGGAGGAGCAUUGGCAAUUGGUAUAUCGUAUUGGUUGAAUCUAACUUUCUUGGCAAUUUACAUGAAGUUCUCCACUGCUUGUGCAGCAUCCUGGGCUCCAAUUUCAAUGGAGUUGUUCCGAGAAAUUGGAGAGUUCUUCCACUUUGCUAUCCCUUCUGCAGUAAUGGUUUGGUAUGUUAAUUAUCCUCUGGAGUUUUAUUUUCCCUUCUCAUAGAUAUCGUAGACACGUCAUAAAUUUUCAUGCUUCUUCUUUUGUUUAUAAUUUUGCAGCCUAGAAUGGUGGUCAUUUGAAUUGCUCAUUUUAAUGUCAGGGCUGUUGCCUAACCCACAGCUUGAAACUUCAGUCCUAUCUGCAUGGUAUGUUGACAUAGACUUUGUAUGUGAAAGUUCUAUACAGAGAAGCACCUACCAAAGGAAAUAGAUUUUUUUUCUUUUUUUCUUUUUUUCCCCGACUGCUCAUUAUUUGUCAACUUCUUUGGGCAGUCUCAGUACUAUUCAAACCCUCUCUGCAAUCCCUUAUGGACUUGGUGCUGCAGUGAGGUUUGUUCAUAACAAUCAUUUAAAUAAUAAUUGUUUUAUAUCAACUAAUUAGCAGAUUAACCAUUAUUUCCUUCUAUAGUACUAGAGUUUCAAAUGAACUAGGAGCUGGGAAUGUGCAAAGAGCCCGUGUAGCUGUCUAUGCUGUGGUCUUUAUGGCAGUCAUGGAGACUAUCAUAGUAAGUGCAUCUCUCUUUGCCAGCCGGCGUGUUUUUGGUUAUGUUUUCAGCAAUGAGGGACAAGUUGUGGAUUAUGUCACAACCAUGGCUCCUCUGGUUUGUUUGUCUGUCAUCAUGGAUAGCUUACAAGGAGUCUUUUCAGGUUAAAUUAACUUCUUCAACUCUUUCAAUUGCUAAAUAGUUCUCUUUAAGUAGAAAUAAAUUUUUUCAGGUUUCUAAAUUCUUUUAAUUAUUUUUAAGGUGUUGCAAGAGGAUGUGGGUGGCAGAAUAUAGCUGCUUUUGUGAAUCUUGGGGCUUAUUAUUUGUGUGGAGUCCCAACUGCUGCCAUUUUGGGUUUCUGGUUAAAGUCUAGAGGAAGGGGCCUAUGGAUUGGGAUACAAGCCGGUGCUUUUACACAAACACUUCUGCUUGGCUCAUAACAACAUUUACAGAUUGGGAAAAACAGGUCUGUUUCUCAACAUUUAAUCCCUUAAAAAUUAGAGAAGCUUAUUGGACUAUAUAUGUAAAUAUGUAGCAAUUUUUUUUCCCAACAAGUAUAUGAUACCUUCUGACUGAAAGUUCAAGAUUAAAAUCAUUCAGCUUGAUCUGAAAUGGUUAGUAUUAUCAUCUUAUGCAGAAAUGGUUUUGCUCAUUGAGAAAAUGAUAUUCAAUAACAGACGUGCAAACUCAUUUGAAAAUUUGCUUUUUUGGAAGAAUUAUAACCAUUUUCUAGUUUGUUAAUUGUUACAAGUUCUGUGUUUCUAAGGGGUUUCUCAUGUUGCAGGCAAGUAAAGCAAGGAAAAGAUUAUCAAAGGGAAGAUCUUUGGCAGAUAAUAGAGUAGUAUGUGAGUGACCAGAGUCAAUCAAUGAGCUGAUACAUACAUUUUCCAGUUGAAAGAGAUAAUCAUUGCUUGAGAAAAUGAGCUGAUCAUAUGUCAAUUGAUGGCCAAGAAGGUCCCCCAAUCUGAUCUAUGGAGCAUGACAUUUCAUGAAACUCUGUUUCUAGAGAAAAAAAAAAAAAAUUAACAGCUUCUUAGGAUUGCACAUUGCAGCAUCAGGUGACUUAGCAUUUCCAGUAUGAAUGAAUUAUAAGAUAGAUGAUGCUGCAAAAAUGAAUAGAGAUAAAAAUUAAGCAAGAGAAAAUGUUUGAAUGUUAUUAUUUAAACCUUUUCCAGUGAUUGUAGAGAUAAUUUGCUUUGUAUUGAAAACUUUCACCAUCUGAAAGAUAAGGAAAAUAUUAAAAGAAAAAAGAAAAUUCUUAAAUCUUUUCCAUGUCAUUCUAGCAAAGUUGAAUUGUGAUUCUUAACCCUACACCACAAUGUAAGGUGGCCUGUGGCCUGUGGGUAACACACAAUUUGACAACCCCAUAUAUUAAGUAAUCUAGAUGGAGGACAUUAAAUUUUUCAAUUUUUUAAUUUUUGUUCAUUUUUUUUUUUUUAAAUUCAAACGACACCUCUUUCAUUGUGGCAUUGGAAUGUAUAGAGAUUUGCACACUGAUUUUGGACCAUACUUCACAAAUAAUGCGACGCACAUCUUUCUUUCAGUACUUCUUCAGGAGGACGUUGUUGUCCUUUUACCUGAAGCAAGUGCGUGUGCAUGCAUUGUUGUUGUCUGUUAAUCUGCUGCCACUUUGCUGCCAAAAAACUUGAAAAAUAAACUGGGAAAAUUUUCAAUAAGCAAAGUCAAACAACUAACCCCUGUUUUCAGUUAUAUUCCUAAGAAAACUUUUAACACUCAAAUAAAGCACACAGCUAAAGUAUUUCUAUCACAUUAGCGUUCGAGUGAGGCUUGAUUUACAUUUAUAUCAGAUAUACCAAGUGUUUUUUAUUCUUUUAAUUAAUGUUUAUUCCUAAGAAAACUUUUAAUUGAUUAUCCACAUAUAUAAACAAACCUAGCUCGCAAUGUGAAAUAUAUUAAAACAGCAACCAUAAUAUUUUCAAAUAUUUAAAUUAACGGUGAUGAUAUUUUCACCCCAUGAAUUUUAUAAACCCACCCAUUUUUAAAAAAAUUAUUAUAAUCAGUUCACAUUAUUUUUAAAAAUUUAAAUUAAGAAGAAAUUAAAAAAUUGAUCAAUUGAAUUCAUAUUCAUUUCUUUUUUAAACUGCGUUUCUUUAUUAUAUUUAAUCAAUAAGAUUGCUUUAACAUAAAUUAGUAUGACUAUUUUACCCUCAUAAGAUAAAAGUAUCAAAAUAUCUAAAAAUUCACUUUAACUUCAAUAAAUUUUUAUGCAAUUUUUUUUAUAUUUUAAUGAUGUAUUAGUAAUUGUUAGUACAAUUAUUAUUACUCCACUAAACUAACAAGAUAUAAUUAGGACAUGUGGUGAAUUGAAAAUAAUUAAAUUUUAUAUAAUACAUAUUGGAUUAUAAAAUAUAAAACUAAAUAUCUAAGCAAUUAGUUACAAUAAUAUAUAUAUAUAUAUAUAUAUAUAUAUAUAUAUAUAUAUAUAUAUUUCUUAGAGUAAUUUGGUAAUUUUAUAUUAUAAGGGUAAAAUAAUCAAAUUAAAUUUAUCUUGAAGCGCUUCAAAAGUUAAAGAUUGUUAAAAGGCUAAGUCGGAAAAAAUAUUAUAAAAUUGAUUUAAUUAAUUAAUUAUUUAAAAAUUUUAUAAUUUUAUAAUUUUAUAAAAUAAUGCAAACUUAUUGUAAUUAUUUUAUACAGAUGGACUGGGUUUAUAAAAAGAGUAAUGAUAUAGCCACAAACUCUUGUACAAACUUAUUUUGUACAAAUUGAUGUGGCAUGAUAAGAUUGGUUGAAUUAAAUAUCACUUGGCCCACAUGAUUUGUUUUUAUUAUUUUAUAUUUUCAUUCGACCAAUAAAUUAAUGCCACGUCAGUUUGUACAAGAGUUUGUGGCUGUAUCAUUACUCUUAUAAAAAUAGCAGGGUGGAUAUACAUACACCCCUGAAUUAAUAGUCAGUAUAAAUUUUAGAUACCUCCCCUAAGAUUUGACUUUGCUACACUUAGAGAAAAUGUAAACAUAUAUUGACAAUAUACCCCCUAGUCGUGUAUAAGGGUUAGGCACUCAUUAGGUAGUUGAGGGCAAUGACGUACAUGUUGCAUAUUUUUUUAUUUUUAAAUCUUACAAAAGCUGUUAUACUGUAACUAAUUAGACAAGAGCAGCGAAAAUGCAUACAGUGCUUUGAAGCUAGGGAAGCCCAAGGGGAUAGUAACCCAUUUUCAUUGUCAAUGCCUAGCUUCAUUUCUUCUUCUUUUUUUCUCAGCAUAACUUGAUGAGUGCUUAGCUUCAUUUCGAAGGUCGUGACACCAACUGAUUUUACCAAAAGCAGAGAUACUUUGUGAUGCAGUAAGCUAACAAGUUUCUGAAAUCAACUAUGUUUUGAACCAAAUUCCGGCGACGACCAGCAGCUGAAAAGCCGGUGAUUAAAGGGCACACUAGGUGCGUAAUUCUAUCAAAUCUUAAAACUGAAGUUAGGUUUUAUUAUUUUCUUGCAUUUUGUUGAAAAUUGCUGUUAGUUAGGUGCUUUAUUCUUUGUUCCAAUUAAUUGAGAAAAAUGUUUAGGGUUUAUAGAAAUUGAAGUAGUGACCGAAUAUAUCUGAAUUGAUUUUUAAGUUGAUAGUCACUCAACAUGUUGUGUAAACUAUGAAAAUAAUUUAUUUUUUGAUGAUUUUGGACUCUGGUUUUUGAAUGCCUACUGAAAUUUGCUUGAUCUGUUAUUAAAAUUGAGAAAAAUCCAAUCUUUUUCUAAGAAUGCAGAGGUGUUGCUGAGAAAAUGCUUAUGGUGUUGUUUUGUUUCUUUUUUUAUGUUACAAGUGUGCAGUUCAUGUAAGAUUGAGACAAUUGCUCUUGUUGCUUUUUGAUGUUUGUAUAGACUAAUUCCAAUCACUGAUUUUUGUUGGAAAAUGGAUGCUAUUAUUUUUCCUUUUCUUCGUGUAAAAAUUUGUAUUUCCGUUCCCGACAUAAAAUUCAGAUGCUUGCCUAUUACUUUUUGAGGUUGUUAUUUAGGUGUAAGAGAUAUAUUAGUUAUAGAGCUUGUAGGCAGUUGGUUUAUUGAAGAACUAGUACAGUUGAGAAAGUGUCUUUUAGGUCAUCCAUUUUAAUACACAUAUUAACAGAUUUAAUUACAUAAACACAAGACUUCAUUUGUUUAUCAAAGUAGUACUUUCUGAUGCUUUCGUAUAAUGAAUGCCAAAGAGAUGACAUUUGCAAAAAGGCCAUUUGAAUGUGCCAACUGCUAUCCUUGUAAACCUCUAUUGUGAUUCUGUUAUCAUUAUAUGUUGUUUAAUGAUCUGAUGAUUUCGAGAUAUCAAGAUGAGUUUAUUCAUACAAUAAAUGUUGUCAUUAGGUUCAUAAUUAUUGUAGUACAUGUUCAUUUAGCUACUUUAGGUACUGCUACAUGCAUUUAUUGUAUAAUGCCUACUUAGCAGCCAUAACUACACCCAUUGUUGAAGCCACAACAGCACAAAUGAGAAAAAAAACAUGUUUAGGAACAACAUUGUCUUUAUAUCAUUUCAUUUUACUCCAUUUUGUUGUGCUUUUUGCAUCAGUGACUUCAAAUCCUUCCUAUCCUUUUGCAUACUCAUCAGCAGUUCAUAAUUUGCUUGACAUGUUCCUAAACCAUCAAAUAUAACACCUUGGUCGAUAUCAUUUGAAGAUGGCAUCCAAAACUUGAAAUAGCCACAACCAUUUUUGCUAUCCAUACAGCAAUAAUAUAGCUUGUUUGGGUUGUCAUCUGAUUCCGCUACCUUCAUAGCAGCUCUUUUGUAGCAUUUACUAAUCUUGUUUGAAAAUCAAAUGAAUUUAAAAUAUUCUCAUUUAUUGUUUUUUGUAGCGUUCACUAAUCUUCUGAUAUUCAGUAUUGUUUUUAUAUAAAUUAAUUUAAAAUAUUAUCAUUUAUUUGUCUUAUUAUAUGAUUUUACACUAUCAAAUUAUUUGUUUUAAGGGGCAUUUUGGUCUUUUCAACACUCCAUUGAGUUUUGUCUUAUUAUAAGAAUAUGUAAUGUCAACAACAAUUAUCAUAAGGGUAUAAUAGCCUUUUCACCCCCCCAGGCGCGAAAAAAAAAAUUGCCCCAAAUAUAAAGAUCAUCUACAGUGUCAAAUAAUUUUGAAGGGCAUUAUUGUACAUUCACUCAACUACCUAAUGGGUGCCUAACCUUCAUACAUGGCCGGGGGUAUGUUGUCAAUAUAUGGAUACAUUCUCUCUAAGUGUAGCAAAGCCAAACCUCAGGGGUGGUUUCUAAAAGUUUUCCUAAAUAGUUAAUAAUUUUAUACAACAGAUUCUUGGAUACCCCUCAAGUUCAUUUAUUAUACGUUAUGGCUGACUUUCAAGAAAUUAAAUUCUACAUUAUGACCCCUAGGGAAACAACGUCGCCAAUAAAAUUAUAAACUAUAUGUGUGUAAUAGUUGUCAAACCUGAACCUAUGUUGUUUAGCAAUUUACAAAAUGAGAAAGACGACAAAAGCCAAGUGUUAGAGCGGCAGCGAGCCAACGAGACAAGCUCAAGUUCACUGUGUUUUUGUUGAACCUUCUGAAGAUCCGAAACUCGAGGUUUGUUUUUUCGUUCCCUAAUCGUUUGACCACAUUUUUAUUCUGUGCUACGUUCGUUAUGAACUAUUCAGGCUAAGUGUUCGACGAAAUUCCUAAGUGAGUAUAUAUAAUGGUUUGCUCUUGUAUUUAUUCUGUUAUAGAGGGUUUUGCUUUGGGUGGUUAAAUAGAGGAGAUUAGACAUUGAACUUUAUGCACUCGUAUGUUUUCAAGUAAUUGUUUGCUGAGGCACAUGUACUUUGAAUGGCUUCAUUCAUCUACAGAGAUAUCAUAACAUUUUUUGCUUAAUGUGAGUCUUAUUGUUGUUAAUUUGUCCAAAGUGAAGGCUUUUUUAACUUUUAUUUCUUUGAUUUAUUUAUUUAUUGGUGUGUCAAAGUUCUGUGUCUAAACUUUUAUUUGAUAAGUUCUUUCAGACAACUAAUUAGAAGAAAAAAAUGCUAGAGAGUGAGUAUGAGAGGGAAUGAUGUUUGGGCAAAGGGUGAUUGGUUCACUUGGCUCAUGAAGGACCCCAACUAUAAUGACAUGUAUCAAUUUCGCAGCCUAAUUGGAAGGUAAGCUCAUUUCUUGAUUUCCUUCAAUUUUCACUUCCAUUUUACUGUUUUCAAGUAGCAGGUAUUCUAAAUAAAAGUAAAAUCAGUAGUGAUUUGCUUCAAAUGCAUAUGGAUAGUAUAUCACAUGUGAGAAGAUUGUAUUUGUUAUAUGAAAAUCCUUAAUAACUUUAAUUAAAAAAUAUAUUCUCAAACCUGAUCGUGGAAUGUACUAUUUCUUAAUAUCUGAGUUUGGAUCAACACAUUUUUUGCCAUGCAAUUUGACAAGUUGUCAUGUCCUCAUUCUGCACUAUUAUAAGUUUUGCCAAUCUGCAUAGGUGUUUAAUAGAUUGAGUUAAUCUAGUUUCGAGAACAUGCCUUGCUAAAGGACGUCGAGUUUCUAAGUGAGGGCAAGUCAGCGGGGCAGGUCUGUUACCUCUAAAUUCUUUCAAUAGCUUGGGGACGUUAAUCCUAUUAAUGACAGCCACAUAUUAUAAGUCAAGAAAACUGAUUUUUUGAUUAUUGAAAAAUCAAAUUUUUUGUAUUAUUCUAUUGAUGAUCUCAGUAACCUACCUGUUGCGGUUGUCUUGUAUGGAUCAUUGUUUCUCUUUUAAGCUGUUAUGGUGACAAUUUUUAGCUCUUAUUGCAGUUCUUAAAGUCAUUGCAAGCACAUGCUCUGUCGAUCUCCAUAAAUUCAGAUACAUAUGCAUAGUUAGCUAUUCAAACAACCACACUGGUAUUCAACUUCAAUAUUCAGAAACAUGGCUGAAGUGAAGCUUCAUGGGGCAUGGGCGAGUGCAUUUUGUUACAGAGUGAUAUGGGCUCUGAAAUUGAAAGGCAUAGCAUAUGAUUACAUUGAAGAAGAUCUCUCUAACAAAAGUGCUUUGCUUUUGAAGCAUAAUCCAGUUCACAAGAAGGUCCCAGUGCUUGUUCAUGACGCAAAAUCAGUUUGCGAGUCCAUUGUUAUCCUUGAAUACAUUGAGGAGAUGUGGCCACAGAAUCCCUUGAUGCCAAAUGAUCCUUAUGAUAGAGCUCUGGCUCAUUUUUGGAUUAAAUUUGCCGAAGAUAGGGUUUGCUUCAGAACUCUAGCUAAUGCGUUUAUAAGUUCAUUAUUUUCAUGUUUAUUUGUUAUUAGAGAAAAUGAUCAGUAUCCCCCAUUGUACGUCAAAAUUAAUUAUUUCUUCUUUUAUGUUUUAAAACCUAUCAAAAUCUCCAUUGUCGUUUAAAAAAUUCUGUUAACUUUCAACUUUUUUUGUCUUUUACUAAUUUACCUCUGGAAAAAUUUUUAUUAAUAGGAAGUUGAAAGUUUAAUAGAAUUGUUUUAACGGCAAGGGAAAUUUUGAUGGCUUUUGAAAUAUGAGGGAGAAAAAGGAUUAAUUUACCAAAACAACAUUGUGGUUUUGUUGUUCAUUUACCCUUUGUCAUUCAAUGUAGUGGUUAACCUCUAGUAUAAGGGUGCUUGACAAAUGACAAGGGUAUGUAUUGUCCAAGUCUUUUAGUUCAUACAUAUUAUUAAUCAUGUAGUGAUAUUUUGGCAGGGAGCUACUGUUUGGAAAAUGUUUCGUAGCGUACGAGAUCAAGAGAAUACAAUGAAAGAAAUCUUGGAAAUGCUAAAAACCGUUGAAGAACAUGGCUUAGGAGAGAAGAAAUUUUUUCAUGGAGACAAGAUUGGCUUAGUGGACAUAGCAUUUGCUUCCAUUGUUUAUUGGUUGCAAAUCAUUGAAGAUGUAGCAGGAGUGAAACUAUUUGAAUCUCACAAAUUCACUCGCUUGCACGCAUGGUUUGAAAAAUUUAAAUGAGUCCCAGAAAUUGAAGAGAACCUUCCUAAUUGGGGUGAACUAUUGGUUUUUUUCAAACGUCGCCGUGAAAAGUUGGUGGCCUCUUCCUCAUUGCAUUAGCACAAAAUUUGUUCGUGCAAUUGUAUUGUUGUUGUCAAGAGGCCGCUCUUUGCUUAGUUUUUGAUUAUCUUGUGUGCUCAAUUGGGAGGCCGCCGCUUUGCUGGGUACUUUCAUAUGGAUUUGAGUAAUAAGAGGGACUUGACUUUAUAUUUAUGAAUUAUUGCAUGUAUUUCGUUAAUUAUUAAUGGACUACUAACGGUUAUGUAUUGUUUGGGCGGAAGUUUACAUGCUGAUAUAUACUAAUGACUUGAAGUAAAGUCAACUUGUUUGAACGAAUGGUAAUAUAGUUCUAAAAAAUAAGAAGAAAAGCUCCUUGUGGAAAAAGAUAGUUCUAGUAAACAUGCCCAAUAUUAAAGGGUAUUAUCGAAACUUAUAUUUUAAUGGUUAGAGCCAGCAUGUGAACAGUGCCCCAUUAUGAAAGAAUAAUUUUUUUUUUGCUAAGAAUAAUGAGCCAAAAGGGCUUUAGAGAUUUUUUUUAGAUCUAAUUUCUUGAGAGACUUCUUCAUCUUCUUCUUCCUUUAUGGUUAGGGUUUCUUUCUCCAUUUUAACACCACCAUGGAAAAUUUUAACCAUCUCAUCUCCCAAAGAAGCCUUUUCCCUUACUCUUUUCCUGGAAAACUCUCUAAUCUCUAUAAAACUCAUAUCUCCCUCAUGUCAUUAUUCCUCAUAAACAACCUUUAAUAAGGUUUUGUCGAUAUUAUAAUGCAAAUUAUGUAAUACUUCAUUUAUAUAGUGGAUUGGAGAUGAAUUACUCUUAUGGAUGUAGAUCAAAGGGUCAAACAACGUAAAAUCUUAUGUGUUCUUUAUUGUUUAUGCUUAUUUUCUAUUUAUUAGGAUGAUGAUAAUACUCAAAUCGUAUUUCAUAUAUGAGCUCAUAUAGAGGCAUACCACGAGCUCUACUGAGCUCCCCAUAUAAGCUCUCUAGUUAAAGCUAUCCUCGAAUUCGCUAGAGCUACUUCCUAAACUCUCUUGAGUCCCCAAAUCAACUCUUUAAACUAAAUCCCAUGAGCUUCACAGAGUUUACCUCCCAAAACACUUCAAUUUGCCUCUCAAAUUACCUCAGUUCACCUUCCAGAUUACCUCAGUUAUUUCUUUUAUCCCUAACAGCAGAAAAACACACCUAGAUUUUUACUAGCUCAAUCUCCUCUCAAAUAUAAAUUUAUUUAUUUAAAUUAUAUUUAACCUUGUUAAUGAUUCAAAUCAGAUCCUAGAGGAAAUCCGGUCAAAACAUGUAUCUAUGUAUAAUAUUUAACAUCACCCUAACGAUCAAUACGAGUGCACUUGGAUUUAUUCUUAGUAGUACACAAAGUGGAAAAAGCAUAACAAGCAACACUUGCACGCUCGAGGCUCAAUAUAAGUACGAACGUCAUAAUUCCAAGCAACAAACAAUGAUCAUCAGUACUAAUUUUUUCUGCAAGCCACCAAAUUGGAAAAGUACCGCGAAGUAAUUAAUUAACCACUGCGACUUGCCAGCUUAAGGUUAUCCAAUGCUGAGAGUUCAUUAUUCUUUGAGGUUUGGUUAUUGUAAAUGUCUUUUAGAGUAAUUGCAGGAUAGAGCGGAGGAUUUUCUUCUGAUAGCAACUCUUUAAGUGGACCAUAUCGUCUCGAGCAACUAUUAUUCAUGAAAAAACUUCCGAUUGAAAUUCUGGAGUCUUCCUUAUUUGAUAACACUCUAUGAUAGGCACUCUUGAACUUAUCGUUGGUAAUCAGCUGCAUAAACACGAACACGUUGGUAAUCAGCUGGAUAAACACACACUUCAUAUAAACCAUAAUUAAGUUAUCUGAUAGAGAUUCAUGCUCGGGUGUAGACGUUCACAUAAUUUUGUAAGGACGAUUCUUUCACAGUAUUGUGAAAGAAUGUGUCCGCACAAGAUUUAGUGCGAACGUCCCACUUGAGAAUUUUCAAUUUGAUGGAUAGUAUUUCUUAAUAAGUUAUCUAACACACACUUGCCUGCAUCAUGUAGCCUAAGUUUACAACUAGAGUUCCCGGAACAGGGGCAAUGCCAAACCAUUGAUCUUCGUGAAAGACUUGGAGGCCACCAAUUUGAUCUUGUAUGAGCACAGUGACAAAUCCAGGGUCAGAAUGUGUUGCUAUGCCGAUGGACAAUUAUGGUUGAGGGCAUUCAGGUUAGUAACCAUUCCCAAUAGUCAUUUCCUCUUCACAACCUAUGUCUUUCAGGUAAUUGGGGUCAAGCCCUAAAGCUUCGGAUAGAAGUUCAAACAGAGUGUCCCCUGUUUUCCACAUUAGGUUGUUGUAUGCGAUCAUUAUCUCUCUGCAAAUUAAUAAAGACAAAAAAUAAUCACUACUAAAAGAAAGGGAGAAUGACAUUUCGACUUUUAGAAAUUAUUUUUUUAUUGGGUUAACAACUAGAUGAAAUGAGAGUAAUAAAAACUUAUUAGGAACCCAAGUGAUGCAAAAAGUUCUAAGAAAGAUGCAAGUGUUAUCCACUGUAAAAGAAAUAAAAUCUAUUGGUCAUCGUCCACAUACCUGCAAGCUUCAGGCAAAUCUUCAGGAUUUGAAAAAUCGCGACCCACAACACAACUUAAAGUAUCUUUCCAAAAGAGGGUUGGUGCACUAUACAAAUUUAAAUUUGAACAAUAUUUAAUUUUUUUGGAGUAAUCACGAGAAUAAUAUUUCUGCUCAACCUCAACAUCUUGUUGAAAAAACCUAUGGAUCCCAUCAAUGGCCUGAUCCAAAUGCUUGUUGGGAUUCCAUGAUUGAUCACUUGAAAGAAACCCCACUUCUCACGAGCACUUCUAAUUUGGUCAAUUACCUGAGAACGCAAACUUGAAUCCCUGUGUAUUCUUUGAAGGUCUAUGAUAGGGAUGCUGAUUUUGGGGUCCCUGCAGAUUGGCUUAUCAUCAAACUUAUGUUUAGUGUGAUGAUCUUGAAGGAUGAUCUGUGGAAUGGUUGUGAUCCCAGCAUCUACGAGUCCCUUAACACCAGCUUUCGUGUCAUCAUAAGCUUUCAACUCGCUAACUCUGUCACAAGUAAUGCUUCCCAUUGCUUGGUGAAUUAUCUUUUACCUGGUGAAUUAUGAAGUACAAAUGCUGACUUGCGGGUGAUUGCUUUUGGUAUAUGCCGUUUAUAUGAAUAUGAUUGCUAGCUUGCCACGUGCAACAUGUUGAAAUAUAACGUUAGCAUGAAGAUAUGGAAAUUUAUAAAAUUUGAUUCUGCGUUAUUUAUCAUGAUUAAAUUAAUUAUAAAUUAUCAAUAAUAGUCAAUUCCGGGAACUACCAACUACUGGGUGGCACAUCACAAUAAUAAAUUAUCAAUAAUAGUCAAUUCUGCAUUAUUUAAUAUUUAUGUGGAUAAAAUUUCAAUUAGCUACACUACAUUGUUGUUUGAUAGUUAACGUUUCACCUUCUCCAUUUGUAAAUAUUAUUAUGGACUUAUAGUGUGGCUUAAAAGCUAGAUCUUAAAUGAAAAGAAAGCUUUAAUGGUGAAAUAAAAAUUUAAAUAAAUGAUAAAGAGAUUAAAGGUUAACCUAAUGUUAGCAAAAAUAAUUGUAAAAUAUACAUGUUUUAUCAUGUUAAUUGAUGUUUUUCCAGUAUGCACAUAAAAAAGAUCUAUUUUACAAUUGUUUCUGUUGGCGUUCGGGCAGAUUUUUUUUAGUCUAAUUAAGUAUAUCAUAAGUUAAUAAUAGUGCGUAUUUUAACUUUAAUAAAUUUGGCCACUUAGAUUUUUAAUUUUGACUCCUUCCCUAAUCAAUCAAGAAAAAGAAUGCUUUUCUCCAUAAAAAUUAAAAUAGAAAAUUCAGCAAGGACAUAACUGCGGAGAUGUUUGAUUCUGGAUUUAUAUAUCAAAGCAACAUCAAAAUUAUAAUACUUCCUUGUUACCAAGAAGAGAUAUAUUCAAGAGCACUAGCCUUAUAAAGCCUUAACAAUACUAAACUACCUACAUGGAAUCUAAUGCGUACAUGCAAUGCUUUCUAAAGUGAAACUGUCGCUUGAAAAUAGAAUUCAUGUUCAGCAGCCUCUCUCUAUCCGAGCUCCAAUUUUAUAACAAGGCAGCUAAAUAAGAUGAUUUAGAUGGCAUCGGCAUCUGUAGUAUCGUUUGUCUGCAGUCCCUCAUUAUCUACGAUCUGAUCGCUCCCUAUAGUAUUGUUUGUCUGUAGUCCCUCAUUAUCUACGCUCUGAUCGCUCCCUAUAGUAUUGUUUGUCUGUAGUCCCUCAUUAUCUACGCUCUGAUCGCUCCCUAUAGUAUUGUUUGUCUGUAGUCCCUCAUUAUCUACCCUCUGAUCGCUCCCUAUGUAGAGAAUCGACAAGAGCAAAUUGUAGCACACGUUCACAGAACUAAUAACUGUUAAACUCUUAUAGUACUUGUCAAGCCUACUAUCAUCCAAGGUUUCAGCAAAGUCGCCUUUGUUUGCCAAAAUGAAAAAGAUGUUAAAAAUGCUUCCUAUUCCGACGAAAAAAGAACUUAUUGCUGAUACAUGGUACUCCAUCCGUUCAGGAAAAUGAGAGCUCGAGUAUUCAUCACAUCCAUGCAAAGCAAGCCCUUCCAUAAGACCCAAUAGACAGAAUUGUGGAACAAGCCAAAACAUGCUCAUAUUUUCCAAUUGUUUGCUCUUUUCCAACCUGCGAACCUCAACCUGCCAUGCCACUACACAGCAAACUGUAGACAUCACCAUUCCAAUGAAUGUUCUCAAUACUUGAGCUUGUCUCUGCUUCGUUUCCGGAACAAAUUUGAAAAUUAAUUUUUUCGACAGAUAAGAGAUCGUCGCACGAAUUAUGGCUUCAAAAGUAAGUAGAAAGAUUAAGUAACGUUCAGAAAUCAUUUUGGCUCCCUGCUCAGGAAAAAAUGUAUUUCCCGCUGACAGAACCAAUCCAAACACAAUGAAGCUAGACCACAAUGGCAACAACUUAAGAAGAGAUUUUGACUCCCUGACCUGGGCCACAGUGCAAAGUGUGCCUGCCUCUUCUUGUUCUUUAGAAGUACUUGAUGUCUCUAUAAUUGCCGCUUUGUCUAUCCACCUGCAAUUCAAAGAAUUAGUUUAUUGGUAAUUUUUUAGGAAAAUAGAAAGCGACAGCUCAUGGUUUGGCAAAAUGAUCACACAGACGCUUUUAUAAAUACGCCCUUUUGGACAAAUCUUGGAGGUCGGUGUGACUAUUCCCGAACACAAAAGGGUAUUAAUGUGUCCAUAAAGAGGUUUAUAUAAUUAUUAAUAAAAAUAAGAGGGUCUCCCCGACAAUUUUGCCAGACCACGGGCCGGGUGUGGGUGUAUACAUGUUAGGCAUAUACCUGAGUAAUUUGAUUCUGGGUGACAAGUGUAAUACGUUUCCCUCAUCAUUACUGAAGAACAGCUCCGGAGAAAGAGGAUAAUUGAGAUGCUUUUUCUUCAGGGAGGUUUUAACAACGCGGAUUAUAGCAAAACGGUCAAUAGGAGGUAUUUCUGUAUUAUGAUAAAAGGGAAUACCUAACAACAGGAGGAUCAAACUGCCCCCCAUAAACAACAAUGUAAACAUGAAAGUCUUCUUCCGUGUCUUAAUAUUAUUUGCGUAGAAUGCCGCAGCUGUACCACAGCACCAGGCAAACCGCCACCACACUCUUUUCUGAGCCAUUACUUGAUCCUCAUUUGAAUUUUCUGUUCUCCCUCCUUCACCAUGUUGUCUUAAUUGAUAGGCAAGAAAUGGUCCCAAAAGAGGAGCCGCUCCAACUUCACCCACUGCUAACAGGAUAAUUCCUAUCAUGUUGAGUAACUCAAAGUUGGUUUCUGAAAAUUCUCUGGACGCUGUACAGAACAAUAGUCCCAAUGCCUGAAACAAAAAUUGUUGGAACUAAUUGUAUAGCAUAACAUUAUGAUCCUAGAAAUGCUUUUCUUAAUCAUUAUUAUAAUCAGAGUGGAGCCAAAAUGAAUUAAUGUCACAUUAAUUAUAACUUAUCUAUUGAGAUCUCUAUCAUUAUAUUUAUAGGGGUAAGGCUCCUAAUAUCCUCUUAUUACGGGUGUGUGUAUAUAUAUAUAUAUAUAUAUAUAUAUAUAUUUUAAUAUGCUGUGAAAUUUAACAUUUACUGCAAAAUAAUAAUUUUUUUAAUUUAGCCCAAAGUACUACAAAGUCCUGGGUCCGCCCCUGAAUAUAUAUAUUGCUUGCAAACCUAGGAUCAUAACAUAUGUUUUAAUUUCGUCUCUGUUUAGAAGUUUUGCAAAUUCAAAACAUAUUAACUUACAAGGAUGUAGGAGACAGUUGAAAAAAUGAGGAUUCUGAGAGGACGAAUGGCAUAACACGAAAUCCAGGCGGCAACAACCGUAAGAGUUGCUAAUAUUACAUCCUGAAUACUCGUAAAUAUUGCAGCUUUUUGAAAUGUGAAUACUUUUGAAUAUUCGGAGUCGGAGAAGUAAGUUAUCAAGACGCCCACUAUAGCCAAGUCUACCAGUUUGCGGCUAGGCUUAUCAACAAACCUGGAAUCAAAAUAAUCAUUAGAAAAAAUGUUCGUGCUCACUAAAAAAAGCAUACACGUGACGACUGCAAGAACAAUGUGAGAGAACUAUUGUCAUGUUUUUAUAAUUUAGCCCAACCUAAUCAAAGAUCUUAAGUACACCUCUCUUAACUGAAAUUAUUUUAGGGGAUUAUCUAUUUAGGAAUCUCAAAUUUCAUGAGCUCUUAAUACACACACUGUAGUGUUUUUGAGUGACAGAUUAUUGUACAAUCAACUCGAAACACUUGCCAAGAUCGCAAAUCAAACAACCAAGAUGUAACAAGAACCAACCCAGAACAAAUCACAGAGAACUAGGACUAUAAGAACUUAGCAGUAAAACAAGGAAAUUAACGUGGUUCAGCUAGCUUCCACUAGCUUACAUCCACGGGAAAACCAGGACCAAGUUUAUUGAUUUAUCAACCACAAUUACAGAGAAUCUCAAGAGCUGAUUACAGAGCUUUUCCAAGAAGCUUUCUCCUAAAACUUCUCUACCCACAUUAGCUCUCACACAUACGCUCCUGUUGCAACUAGAACCAGCUGUUUAUAACAGCUUCUUCAACGAACCAGGAUGAGCCCAGAAACUCACAUGAUUGGCAUUCGUGAUAAUAGACUCAUAACGAUCUUUCAAGGGAUGGCAAAACCCCGGGCCGGGUCCGGGUAUUGCAAUGACCGGACCCUGCCCGUGUAUUGCAAUGACCGGACCCUGCCCGGAUGCAACCGGUCCGGGUCCGGGCCGGGUUUUAAUCCGGGUAUCCAAAUUUUAUAUUUUUUUAAUAUUAUAUGUUUAUAUAUUUUAUAUUUUUUUGGUAAUUUUAUAAGUUUUAAAUUUAUUUCAAUAAAAUUUGACAUGAAAAUAUAAACUUUAAGUGUUUAAAACUUUAUAUAUGUAUAAUAAAUGAGUCAAAUAAAUAUAAAUAUUUAAAAUAAUAUAUAUUUUAUAAUUUUUUUUAAUAAAAUCCGGGUUCCGGGUUUAUCAAGUGAUGCCCAAGACCGACCCAGCUUCAUACCCGGGCCGGAUAAUACCCGGCCCACAACGCCCUAGUAUGGUCCGGGUCCGGACCGAGCGGGUAUUUUUACCACCUCUAGAUCUUUGAAAACAACUUAUUCGAGCACGUGAUUCUCUCGUCCAUUACUUAAACCAAAACGACAUUCAGACAGGUCGUUCCAGUAAUGAGAGAAUGCUGCUCUUCAAAACGCUCUGAUUUGCUUCACAACACAACACACACACAUACGUACAUACAUCAUCAUGUUGUUAAAGUAAUGAUGUUAGUAAAAUACAAAAAGAAUAUAGUUUUAAAUACAUUGGAGAUUCUAUCUUUUUUGUACUUUACUAACAUCGUGAUUAACAAAAUGAGGAUACCUUUAUUAAAGAAUGAUUAUAUAUAGAUAGUUUUUUUUUUUUCUCGUGAGCGUUCUCACAUAUUUUUUUAUGCAUACACACUAUUAAAUUGUAUGGUUUAAUAAAAUUAGUAUAGACAAUUAAACUACAUGAUUUUGUAGUGUAUUAAAAAUUAAUUCUAUUAAACCAUACAAUUUAAUAAUGUGUCUGUAUUAAAAAAAAACCAUAUAUAUGUAUACAGGUUUAUAUUCUAAAUAAAUACAUUUUUAAAAGAUACGAAUACCUAAGGCCCCACGUGCAAAAUUACCUGACAUAAAUGCAGCAGCCUUACAAAAGUAGACGUAAUAUCGUACCCAAGUCAUGAACCUGCUUUGAAUCUUCAACAACCGAGAAAAUGGAAACAUUGUAGUUUCUGAAACUGCUUCUUUUAUCAGCAAAUACUUCUACUUGUGACUUGUGAAUCCGGAGACAAUGAAGAUUUUGUAAUUAUACCAAAGUCUUCGCUAGUCUUCUAAAAAGGUAGUUUAUUCAAAUUAAAAAAUAAUAAGUCGCACUUCAAGACCACCUAUUGGUCACAUAAGUCUUUUUUUUCUUAUUUUUAGGGUUCUAAAAAGAUAGUUUAUUCAAAUUAAAAAAUAAUAAGUCGCACUUCAAGACCACCUAUUGGUCACAUAAGUCUUUUUUUUUCUUCUUGUUUUUAGUCUUCUAAAAAGUUAGUUUAUUCAAAUUAAAAAAUAAUAAGUCGCACUUCAAGACCACCUAUUGGUCACAUAAGUCUUUUUUUUUUCUUGUAACUAAAGGAUCCAGCUACGGUGCAACAGGUGCACCGUGCCCCUCUUUUUCCUUUUUUGACAGCACCCCUUACUUUCUUCUGUAUUUACAGUUUAUUAAAGUAAUUUCUUUUUCCUCUUUCUUUCACCCCUCAUCUUUACAAUCUUCAAUUUUUUUCCAUUUUGAAUUAAACCUAUAAUCAACCAAUUGCAAGCAAUAAGAAAGAAGUUGACAAGCUAUUUCUUUAUCACCUUAGGAUUCAUUUGCUCUAUAAUACAUAAGUAAUAAUGAAUUGAAGUUUUUAUAUAAAAAAAUCACAUAGAUGUAAUUUUUUUACACACACUAUUUAUCAUCUACAAUGAUUUUUUUGUCUUUUAUUAUAUAUAUUCUUCCCCUUUCUCCUCCGUAUGUCUUUCCAUUUUCUCUUUGAAUAAUCUAACCUAAGGCUUUCUAAUAAUUGGUUUAUUGUUAUUAUUUUUAUAAGUAAACCUUCUCUUUAUUAUGUCAAUAAGUUUAUUUUUUCAAGAAAAAAAAUUCGUAAAUGACCAAAAGUGAGAGCAUUAAUAAAAAUUCAAAACCUAUCUUAAUUUUUGUUGUCUUUGUUGAUGCAUCUCGCAUGUUUGAUCUAUUAAUUAUAACUUGUGAGAGUAAAUACUGUAAUACAAUGAUAAUAAAUUGAUGAUUAGUAAUUCUUACUAAGAGUAUUCAGAGAGAAAGAAGUUCGUGUAAAAUUUUAUAAACUUUGACUUUUCCAAAUUUUCACUAAACAAUAGGGAUUGCAUUAUUAAUAACUAAAUAAACACAUCCAUAACCUUGAAACUACAUUUGUGUUAGAUCCAACGGUGACAGCACAAAAAGACAAAAAGAGGGGUAUGGUGCACCCCUUGCACUGUAGCUGAAUCCUUUAGUUACAAAAUAAUGACUUACUGUACAGCUCAAUAAUUUUAGGUGGUAUGAAACACGUAUGAUGAGACGGUCAUAAUUACACUGUACCAUGAAUGAUCCUCAUUGAGUAUAUAAUCCCUUUCUUUUUUCAAACAAGAUUUAUGCUUUAAUUUUGGGAGGUUUGCUAAGUUCUUUCUUUUUGUAAUGGUUACGGAGACUGACAAUUUUCUAUUGAAGUUAUUUAUACAUGUAUUUCUUUUUCAGCAUGUAAUACAUUUAGGAAAUGAGUAAUGAUUAAGUACAAACACUUUUAGAUAAACAAUGUUGUACGAACUUAUGUGAUAUCUUUUUAGAAAAAAGGAUCUGAACAUCCUUAAGAUUUUAAAAAAUGGUCAUAUAUACUUUGAGUUUUCAAUAAGGAAUAUCAAGACACUUUUUGACUAUAGUAUCCUUAAUAGAUAAUAACAAAAAAUAUUGACUUUAAACAUUUUAAUAAAUAUAAAUAAAAUUUAAAUAGUUUGAUAUGUCUAGUAGACUAAUAAUAUUAGAACGUUUCUUAAUAUAUAAAUAAUUUUUAAAAGAUAAAUUAGUAUAUUUAUUUUAAUAAUAUAUUUUUACUUAUUAUAAAAAUUGUAAAUAAAUCUUUAGGUUAGAUAGAUUUUAAAUUUAAUAAAAUACAUGUCAUGUACUAAUAAUAUUAAAACUAUUUUAUAUAAUAUUGAAAAUAAUUUAAAUUUUAAAUUUUAAUAUUAUGUUUCGAUUUAUUUUGAAAUUUAGUUUAAUAUAAUUUAAUGUUGUAAAGUAUUAAAAUAUUUUAAAAAUAUUGAAAUUAUUUUAAAAUGUAUAUAUUGUUACAUUUAUUUUAAUAUUAUACUUCUAUUUAUUAUAAAUAUUAAAAAUAAUAUUUUAAUUAAAAGGGAGUUUUGGUGUCUCUUACUUAAAAAAUGGAGUGUACGUAAUUGUUUUUUCAAAUUUUCAAGGGUUUACAUGUCAUUUUUCUUACUUUUUUAUAAUCAGUUGAAUAAAAAAAAGUCAUCUGGCCACAUAAAUUAUUUCUAAUUUAUAUUUUCAAUUAACAAAUCAUAAUGUAUCAUAUCUAUUUGUAUAAGCAUUUAUGAACAUAAAAAAUUAAGUUUAGGCACUAGUCGGGUUGGAAAUCAACCCAUCCAACCCAUGUAUAGUGCUAGUUGGGUGAGUUGGACUUAUCUCGAAGACCCAUUUUCUGUCUUUGAAAUGUCAAUAUGAAAUUAAAAUAAUUAAAAAAUAAUUUAAUUGAAACAACUAAAAAUAGAAUACAAAAUUACAAAUAAUAACUAUCCCUCAAACUUCAUUGUUAAUAAAAAUAAUUAUUUGUAUAGGAUCCUAAUUACACCAUAAAAAGUAAUAGGAUGAAUUCAAGAGUUGGGUUUGAAAAUUACAAAUAAUAACUAUUCCUCAAACUUCAUUGUUAAUAAAAAUAAUUAUUUGUAUAGGAUCCUAAUUACACCAUAAAAAGUAAUAGGAUGAAUUCAAGAGUUGGGUUUGAAAAUUUUCAACACCUAGUAAAUAUAGUGCAUCUUCUCCACCCCUAUGAAAUUAGGGGUUGGCUUUCUACUUGAUUUUAAGUAGAGAAAAUGAUCAAAACUACCUUAUUGUUUUUUCAAACUAUAGGGUGAAUUUAAGAGUUGGGUUUGAAAGAUGCAAUAUGUUCAUAUUUAUAUAUAUGAACAUAUUGCAUCUUCACUAUCUUAUCCCCAGAAUUUUUGCACCAAAUCAUGGUAAAAGAAUAAAAAUUCGCAACUCGAAUCAACAAAGUAUUAUCACUAAGUUAUUCUGCAAGCCGCCAAAUUGGAAAAUGUCCCAAAUAAUUAAUUAACCGCAGCGACUUGACAGCUUAACUUUUUCCAACGCUGAGAGUCCUUCAUUCUUCCCUAUUGAGGAUUGGUUAUUGUAAACGUCUGUUGGAGUAACAUGGGGAUAGUGCGGAUGAUUUUUUUCGGAUAGCAACUAUUUAAUUGGACCAUAUUGUCUCGAGCAACUGUUAUUCAUAAAAAAAAACUUCCAAUUGAAAUCGUUGAGCCUCGCCUUCUUGAAAACACUCUGUGAUAGGCACUCUUGAACGCGACACUGGUAAUCAGCUGCAUAAACAUAUAAAAGAACACUGUAAUUAAGCUAUACGAUGGAUUCAUAAUAGUCAAAGUUGUGCAUAACAUCUACUUGCCUGCAUCAUGUAGCCUAAGUUUACAACUAGAGCCCCGGAAACUGGGGUAAUAUCAAACCAUUGAUCUUCACAAAAGACUUGGAAGCCACAAUUCGAUCUUCUAUGAGCAUAGUGACAAAUCCAGGGUCAGAACGUAUUGUUACGCCAAUUGUCAAUUUCGGAUGAGGGCUUUCUGGGUAGUGACUAUUCCUAAUAGUUAUUUCCUCUACAGAACCUGUGUCUUUCAGGUAACUGGAGCCAAACCCUAAAGUUUCAGACAAAAGUUCAAACAGAGUGAAUUAGCAAUUGGCGUUGUUGGAGAAAAAUCAGUUUUUAAAUUUAAAAAAAAAACUUUUUAGGGCCGAUCUCAUACAAUAUAUAAGAAUUCGUAAUCUAGAAAUCGUAUCUUGAAAAUCUGAGAAAAUGAACAAUCUUUGCUUUUUCCACUGAAGUGAAACUAAGCUCCCAGAUCACGAUCCGUCACCACCACGCCUGUUAGAUCAUAGUCUGUCACCACCACGCUUGUUAGAUCACGAACUAUCACCAAUGAUCUUCCAGAUUAUGACUCAGGUUUGAUCUGCAUUUGAUGUGUGAGUGCCUUUAUCACUACCAAUAGCAACUAGUAGGAGAAAAUUUUUCUCUCAAGAUUAGAGAGAAAAAUUCUUUUUCUCUGAUCUGUAUAAUGUGGUCUUAUAUCGUUUCAAGAGAAAAUAAGCCAUUUUAUAUCUUAUCUAGUGGAAACCCUAAGCUCUAUAUUUUCUAUUUUUUAAUUCUAUUAACACAAGACCCCUUACACAUAAGCAUAUUACAUGGAGCCUCCCACUAAAUAAUAUAUUUAAACUUUUAACCCAAAUAACUAGUUAUCUUACUUAUUAAUUUAGUAGCAGCGCAGUCAAUUAAAUGAGCUAACCCAGGGAUCAUUUGGGAACAUACAAUAGUGGCUACAAUAAUUAGGCAUGUAAUCAAACUAGCUCAAUUAAUUAAUUUCAAAUCUACUCCACUAAAAGAUUGGAACUGACCUCCAUAAUUGUAUGCUCGAAUAAUAAUUCAUCCCAAGCCACAUUGAUUUCUUUACUGCACAAUCCUUUAUACCACAUCAUUAAUUAAAUCGAUAUCUCAACUGUCCAAUCAAUUUAAUUACAUCUUGUUCCUCGAUUCUUACUGGUUUUCUCUAAUGAUCAUUUCAACAUACUAAAUAUGUCGACACACUCUGACAAAAGAAUUCUAUGAUCAAGUGCCGAAAACUCAUCAAGAGAUGUGUUGUACAAAUUCUAUAUUGUCAAUCUAUAACUCUAAUACUCAUAAUUGCUCUCAUCAAGAUACCGGGUAAUCUUGACUACAAGUAUGUGUCGUGCCCAUUGGUAAUUCAAAUGAAAUAACAAUUACAAUCAUGAAAUCAUAAUUAACUCAAGAUUAAGAUUACAGUAAAAUCAAUGUCUAUGAGAUUUAAUAAGUCUGACAGUAAUUACAAAGUUAAUUAAAUCUCAUAUGUGAUCAUGUUCAAUGUAGUCUUACUACAUCAAUAAAUUCAUACAUGAUUAAGACAAAUUAUUCAAUGAAUUCAUUACAGUCUAUACCUAAAUAAAGUGCCCAACUUUAUUUAUCAACUGCGAACUAAAUUUAUUUAAUCAUAAGAUAACUUGUAUUUAUGUCUUCUGUGAAUUCACAUGUUGAUUCUUGUCCAAAUUUAUUGAACUCGCAAGUGCACGAAUAUAUUGUAGAAUAGAUUAAUGGUGACGAAUGUCGAUUCCACGAGGAAGUGGAUUUUAAUUAUGUGUAGAAUUAAUUUUCUAUGAGGGUGGUUGGAUUUGUGGUGAAAAUGAUUUGGAAUAUUCUAAACAUUAAAUUAGAAUGGCAGGAAUAAAUUAAAGCGAAAUAUAUUGAAAUGAAGCACUUAGUUAUUUGGAUUUGCAUUAACAUGCACCAUGAGCUAAAUAUUCCUUAGUAAUGUCAAUUAAAUCAUGAGGGGGGUUUCUACUCCUUAUGAACCACACUCUAAUCAAUAUGGUGCUAAGGGCUUAUCGUACCAAAUAAUAAUAACCUUGUAUUAGGGAGUCGGUUAAACCGGUGCGGUAUCAAGACAAGAUUAUUACUAUUUAUUGACGAAAAGUCAAAACAUCAAUAAUAAUUAGAGGGGAAGAGAAAGUAAAUUUACCAAAUAAAGCCCAUGGCACAUGUUGAGACUUCACCAACCCAAGCUUGAAAGAAAAUUAGCUACUCAUAAUUGAACUAAGGGUAAAAUGAGAAUUUAUUAAAUACAUAGAAAAUACAAGAUGGAGAAGGAAUUACAUAAAAUAGAGCUCAAAAAUGAAUUCAGGGAUGCCAAAUUAAAGGGGAGCCCUCCUUUUAAUAGAUACACUAAGUAAAUCAUGGCCAUCAGAUUAAAAACAUUUUGGACGCUCAAGAUUGUGCCACGUCAUCGGUCAAUAGUACGCGGUUUGACCAUGCAGUUUGGUUUUAAAUAAUCCCGUGUAUUAUGCAUGUACCGUACGCACUAUUUUUGAUCCACUAACAUACUGCCACGUCAUUGAUCAACAGUACAUAAGAAUUUUGUCUAAUAAAAUCGUGACAUCUCAUCAGUCAAUGCCACAUCAUCGGUCAAUGCCACGUCAUUGUUCCGUAUAUGUGAACAGUGUCGUGAAUAGUAACACAGUACCGUAUCUGUGAAUAGUACCGUACAUGUGAACAGUGCCAUUUUCCUUUUAAACUCCUCCUAAGGUUUUCAACUGUCCUAAUCUCAAAAGUGAUGUCCGUUUUGCUGUAUGAUCUCUCGUUCAUUGUGAAAUGACCAUGAUGCCCCUAAGAUACAUAAAAUACUUAAUUAUAAUACAACACACAUAAUUAAAUCACAAGAAACUUAAAUACAUAAAAGUAGGAAUGUUAGUGAAACUUGAAGUGUAAAAUGACAAUUUUCUCCUUCAUAAAUAUACACUUUCGAACACUCAACAGUGAUCACAUAAAUACAUAUAAUAUGAUUAAAUGGACUUUAAUCAAAAUAUUAAUACAAUUAAGAUAUUUGAAUAAAAUACCUCAUUUAUUUUAUUAAUCAGAAAAAUUAUUUAUUAUAAUUAAAUAAACACAUAUGCUUUUAAAGAGCAUAUUUUCCCAACAGGCGUAUCUCAUAAAGCCAACUUCGGUGGUUGGGGUAUCCUGCUGUGCAACGCUGUAUCUCUUAUAGCCAACUUUUACGACUUGGACAAUUUGUAUUUUACCGAUUGUCCAUUAAAUUAAUUUGUUUUUGCUGAAAAUGAAUAUUAAAAAAAGAUUAAAAUAAAUAAAAUUAUAAAUAAUUAAAAUCACUGAUUGUCCCAGACCACCAAUAAAACCUCUAAAACUAAAAUUAUAAGCUCCUCUGUAAGAUCCACCAUUAUAUUUCUGAUUACCACUAGCAUUCUUUCAAGGAUUAAAAUGGUUUUGAGUUACAUUAGCUAACAAGUUAUGUGUGACAUCACUAGCAAUUUUACCUCUUGUCUGUUCAACUCUAUUCUCCUGAUUUAGCAGUAAAGAAUAAAAUUCAUCAAGACUGAUCUUAUCAACUCCAGCUAACACACUAAUAACUAAAGAUUCAUAAUCAAAUGAAUCUAGUCUAGUCAAAAUAUAUUGAACAAAAUCACUUAACUCAACAGAUUUUCUAGCUAAAGCCAGUCUGUCAGACAAUCUCUUCAUUUUAACAAAGUAAUCAAUCAUAGACAUUGAUCUUUUUUUGAGUGUUUGAAUAUGCAUCUUAAAGGCAUUAUUCUAGCUUGAGAUUGUAAAGUAAACAUACUUGUGAGUGUAUCCAAAAGCUCUUUAGCAAUGGAGCAAUGAAUGAUUGGAGCGAGUAGAUUUUGCUGAAUAGAUGACAACAUCCAACUCAAAACUAAUUGAUCUGUCUUCAUCCAGGCUGUGUAUGCUGGAUUGACCUUUCGAUUUUUAGUACUAGUUGAGGACCAACUUCAGUGCUAGCUGGUGUGAGAAAUUACUCCGGACGAGUUUGAUCACCAUUAAUGAAAUUAUCCAGAUCGUUUCCUUUGAUCGAUGUUAAAACCUGAGUUUGCCAGACAAUGAAAUUAUUAUGAUCUAGCUUAACAGGAUUGAUAAAACUAUAGGAUCCAGAAAAUUGAUUAGAACUCACCAUUGUAGGCUCUGAUAUCAUGAUAGAAUUUGUAAUAUAUAUGUUUGGAAAGCAAGAAAAUUAAGGAGAAAAAGAUAGAAAGAAAAGAAGAAGAAUUUAGAAUAUGUUAAUUGUUCAGCACAUUACAAAUGUGAUUAUAGCCUUUGUAUUUAUAUUGAGUGAAAUGCUUAACUAUAAUUUGUUAUAACUGGAAUACGUGCUAAACAGUUCGUUAGCCAGAAGGCUGAGAUGGCUAACUAAUUAUUCCACGUCAGCAAGAGCACUCGUGUAUGGUCCUCAUCCUUACUGUAAUUAUCAUACUCUGUAACACUUCUUCUACAUCUUCUUGCUCUUCAGGACCAAGUGUACUUCGUGGGUCUAUAAUUGCUGCUUUGUCUAUCUAUUUGCAAUUCAAAGAAUUAAUUUAUUGGUCAUUUUUUUAGGAAAAAAGAUAACGAAACAUAGUUGUUUGGUAAAAUAGUCAUGUGAACUCUUUCUUCAAAACAUAUAUAAAAACAAACCUUGGAGAUCAGUAUUGUCUAUGUGAUAAUUUCUAAAAAUAAGAGGUUUAACUGACAAUUUUUUCAAACCAUGGGAUGUUGGUAUAUACUCUUUAAGUAAGUACCUUAGUAAUUUGAUUCUAGUGACAAGGGUAAUUCAUUUUCAUCAUCAUUACAGGAGAACUGAUCUGCAAAAGAAGGAUAAUUGAGAUGCCUUUUCUUCAGGGCAGCUUUAAAAAGACAGAUUAUAGCAAAACCGUGAAUAAGAGGUAAUUGUUUACUAUGAUAAAAGGGAAUACCCAACAGCAACAAGACCAAACUGCUCCCAUAACCAAUAUUGUGAACCUCAAAGUCCUCCGUCAUGUUUCCAGAUUAUUUGCAGGGAAUGUUACAACCACAUUACAACACCAGGCAAGCUGCAGCUAUACUUCUUUUUGAGCCUUUACUUAUUUCUCAUUUGGAUUUUUUGUUCUCCCUUCAUCACCAUGUGCUCUUAAUUGAUCGACAAGACAUGGUCCUAAAAGAGGCCCCAUUCCAAAGUCACCCACUGCUAACAAGAUCAUUCCUAUUACGUUGAGCAGUUCAAAUUUAGUUUCUAAGAAUUUACUGGACGCUGUAUAGUACAAUAGCCUUAAUGCCUCCAACAACAAUAGUCGGAACUAAUUGUAUGGCAUAACAUUAUGAUCCUAAAUAUGCUUCUUAAUCAUUACUAUAGUUAGGAGCGGAACAAAAUUGAGAUUUAGGGGGCCAAGUGUAAUUAAGGUAAUUAUUUCAGGAUUAGAGAGUAUUAGUUAUUUUCUGGGGUUAGGGGAUGGGGUUCACGUUUAUGAAACCACCAUAUAAAGAAAAACAACUAGUUUGAAAGUUGAAAUUACAAAUUUAUAUAGUGUGAGAUUAUUUCAACCUACUAAAAUAUUUGUUAUUUUAAAGGCUAAUGAGCUUGCGGCUUUGAAAAGGUUGGAAUGUUAUUUGGUUGGAGAGGGACUCGGUUUCAACUUUAGCUUGUCUUACGAGUACCAAAUUCAAGCCGCCGUAGCAUCUGCAUAUCAUAUAAUUGAAUUGUUUGAGAUUUAUUCGUGGAAUACACUUUGCUAGUUUACACAUCUAGAGAGAGGGGAUUCAGUGGCUGAUAGUCUUGCAAAUUUGGAGUUAAAUCUUAAUGCUCAUAAUUGGUGGGAUAAUCCUCCUAUUUCAAUUCGUCAGAGUUUGCAUGAGUGUAUGCUUGGGAUAUCCCUAAAUAUCAUUUCAAAUGAGUGUUUUUGCAUUCUUUCUUCUCCUUCUUUCCUUAAUAAAAUUGAGUAUCAUAAAAACAAAAACUACCAGAAUGCUUAAUAAAUGUAUUUAUUCAAUAAAUUCAUUUAAAAAUUUAAAUUAUUUUAUUUUAUUUUACCAACCAAUUUUUAGUAUUCAAUAUGUCCUUAUUUGAAAUUCACAUAAUUCUUUCAUCUUUCUCUUUCAAGACUUUUAGGCUUUUAAGGCUCUUUUACAUUCGUGUCUCCCUAAUAUUCUAUUUUUCACUAUUUCAUAAGCACAUCUUUCUUUAAAAUUGUGGGCAUACUAUAUAAUUUACGUAUGUACGUAAAUUAUAAAUAAAUAGAUUUUUAAACGAUAUGAUUACCUAAGGUGCCAUAAGCAAAAUGUUACCUGAGGUAAAUGCGGCAGCCCUACAAAAACAGAGGUGAUGUCUUACCCGUCUUUUGAACCAAUCCUGAAGCUCCUGAGAACAUGGAAACGCUGUGGCUUCAGAAAUUGCUUAUUUUAUUUGCAAAUAUUUCCACCUGUGAAUCCUGAUUCCUGAUACCGUGGAAAUUUGUGUGGGCUCGAUAUACCACCUUAUUACGUCAAGGUAGUGCAUUCGAACAAUAAAAGUUUAUUAUUUUGAUAGGUUUAGUAGGUUUAACGUGGGACCCCACUUAUUUAAUUAAAAAAUAAUAGAUAUAAAAAGUAAUAGUACUACUUCAUCACCGACUGAAUUAAAAAAUAAUGAAUCUUACUUCAAUUGUCUUUGAGACUUAACUAUCGUGGACAGACCGUGGAAGUCUACCUCCUUAUUUUUAAGUACAAAUUAAAGAAUGAAUUGUACUUACUAACAAGCCAAAAUCAUUUAUUGCACAGCUAAAUAUAUUUUAGAUGGUAUAAAUGACCAGCAAUAUAUUGCCAGUUGGGUGCACAUACAAGAUCAUAUUUGGCUUAAGUAUUAUAAAUUAGGAUAAUGCCUAAGAUUUAAACCUAAGUUCGGAGAAUGUCUAAUCACAAAACACAUUUUUUUUUUUUUUGAGGAGAACUAUUGCUUUUUAACUCUCUCAAAUAUUCGAGGGAUGCCAACUCCCCUUUUGAAAAAAAAGACUGUCUUCGCUCAAGCUCUGAAGCUCCAAGAAAGAAAAUUUAAAUUAAACCCCCUACAAUAGGUCUGCAGGGACUCGAACUACUUCGAGCACUUGUGAGAGAGUGGCUCUAGCCACUUAGGCCAAGCCCUAGUGGUUCACAAAACACAAUUAUAAACACUAUAAAAUCUAAAAUUGAAAGGAGAAUAAAAGAUUCUACACAUUAAAGUCCUAUGAAAAACUAUAAAAAUUUUAAGGGACUAGCCUACCCGUCUUAGUUAUUAUAAAUAAAAACUACCUUCUAAUCAAAAGAAAAAUCCAGUACAGUGCCUGCAACAACGACAUACACUACCACUAGUACCACUAAACUAUUACCAACGUCACAAAACAACUCAAAUAUGAAUAUACAUCUUAAACAAUCACUGUUAUUCUACAAAAAUAGAGUAAAUCAUCGGCGGUUUAAUUAACAUUUAUUAAGGGCUCAAAUAAUAUUUUACAAAGGCUAUAAAGAGAGAAAAUUUUCCAUUGGGGGACUUUAAUCACUUGAGUCCCUUUAGGGCUUGAGAGUAAAACAAACAGCCAAGACAAUAUAUAAUAACAAAAUGAAUGAUUAGAAGAGUCUAUGAAUAAUAAAGCCUCGUAAGCAUUGUGGAAAAUUUACUGGGAUAUUUAUCCAUUUUCAUUGGCAACAGGUCAAUAAUACAACUGGCAACUUCACUCACAAAAUGCGAAAAUCCAAUUCAAUAACCAGUUAACCACAAAGUAAUGGACUUGCAUGCCACAUUUCAAGUAUAUGAAGCAUAUAUAUUAGAAAAGUUGACAAAACCCAAAUUAUCACUUAAUUAAUCGGCAUUUAACCCCUCUCAAACUACAAGGGGGGAAAAAAGAACUUACAAAUGUGCAUGUGAAGAUUGUUUAUCUGGGCUCAUUUUGUCAAAGUCAUCUUCGUCAAUUCGAUCUGUUUUGAUUUUGGGCUUUCUAAUUAUAUAGCCAGUUUGAGCUUCUAACAUCCCUUUAAAAUUCUUGUGAAGUCCUACUGUUGCAUUUGUAACACUUGCUUUUAAGAAAUUAUUUAAAAAGACAGAAUAAUAUGAUAGAGUUAAUUAAAAUUUAACAUACUUUUUUAAAAUAAAAAAUCUAUCAUUAGGUAAUUUAUUUCUUCAUUGUCUCAAAAUUAUUUGAGUUUGCAUAAGAAAUUUAUUAUAUCAUAAAUUAGGAUUGGUGAUGAUACAGCCACAAACUCUUGUACAAACUUAUCUUGUACAAAUUGAUUUGACAUUAAUUCAUUGGUUGAAUGAAAACAUAAAAUAAUAAAAAUAAAUAAUGUGCGUCAAGAAAUAUUUAAUUCAACCAAUUUUAUCAUACCACAUCAGUUUAUAUAAAAUAAAUUUAUACAAGAGUUUGUGACUAUAUUAUUACUCAUUAGGAUUUAAAGAUGGGAUAGUUCAUAAUUAGCAGGUAUAAAGAUAUUUUAAUCGAGUUAAAUUCAUAAUUGUCCUUCUCUAGCAGUAGAACUAUGUUCACAAAAAAUGCGGAUUUACAAGGAUUUUAAAGGGGUGUGAAAAGCAUUAAUUACUCUUACACGACAUCACCCAAAUAAUCAAUUCAAACGCACUCGGCUAGAUUUGUUCCAAGAUUAGACCUUUUGACACCCCUCAAAAUUCCUCAUAAAACCCCUUGUUAAUAGAAGUUACUUAAAUAAUCAAAGAUAAAUUAAUUCAUUUCUUACUUUAACUAGAAAUCCGAUUAAACAAUUAAAAAAUUUCUAUUAAAUUUUUUUUCACCCAUCCCAUUUCAUAAUUUAUAUUUAUAUUUAUAUUUUAGUUUUUAAUUUUUUAAAAACUUAUAAGAGUUUAGAAUUAUGGAGAUAGAAACUAUAUAAUAAAAAGAAAAUAAUUUAAAUUUUAAGAAAUUUUAGUACUUUAUAAAUAAAACUUAAAAGAAAUAUUCAUUUAGAGUUGGUAAGAUAAUUGAUUUUAAUAUAUGAAUUUGUAUUUUAUAAAUUAAACUGUGAUAUUUUAAAAAAUAAAUUUAAAAGAAUAUUAUAAGAAUUUUAACGAAGUGUUAAAAACUCCACCCUUAUCUCAAAGAGUUAGUAUGCAAAAGUAAAAACAUAAGCAAUACCCGUUAACACCAUUGGACCUUUGACCUGGUGAUAAAGAACCUAUUGGGGGCACAGGUUCAAGUUUUUGUUUUAUUUAUCCAAAUUGAGUGAAAGUAACAUCAUUGAAUCCUAUAUUACAUAACUGCAAAAUCAUAGAACUAAAAAAUUUCGAAUUAAUUCAAACAAAUAAUACAAGGGCAAUCUAGAAAUCAUAUUAUCUUGAACUAUUACUUUAUCAACUUUAAAUGAAUACUGCAACUUAAGUCCAAAAUCAGUACCAAUAAAUGAGACAUGGACAGCCUUAUUAUGCUGCUCUUGUUCUGUUUUCAGCAUAAAAAGCCAAUUCUGCUGUUCUUAAACUGUUUCUCAACAAGAUGGAACAUGAAGUUGUAUUCAAUGACACAUGGACAUUUCAUGAUUAUAAAAAAAUCUAUUUACUUCAGCUAACCUCAAGGAAAUAAUCUAGUAUUGUAGUCAGUGAUGCAUAGAAUAUAUUAAAUGAGAACAUAUUUUUCUAUAACAACGAAAAAGGAAUUGCUAUUAGAGCAGAGUACAUCAAACGGAAAGAUUACUCACAGUGAACACUGGAACUUGUGUGCCUUGCCUUCAAUUCUUUUCAAUUUAGAUUUGUUCAAGAAUGUGCAAUUGGUAUCAGCAACUUUGGGUUGUAAGAAUAGAGACAGCAAACAACUAUCAAAAAAAAAAAAAUGUGGAACUUAGUUUGAAGAAAUAUUGUGGAUCAUAUCAAAUGCCAAAUGUUGGAUAAUCUUUUCCAAAUGUUGGAUAACAAGAAAAGGGAUGCACACAAGACCGCUGACUGAAAACAGAAAUAAUUGGACAAAUAAAGCCCAAACCACAACUCAUCCUAAUCUUUAUGUUACUAAUGGAAGCUAAAAGCACAUAAGUCAUCAACUAUUUACAUUUUCUGAUAGAUACGGAUGCUUAAUACUUUCAUCAUGAUAUCCAGAAACAAUAAAAUUAAGCUAGUACAAAGAUAUCUAAAUGAAGAUGAUAAUAUCAUAGGCAAAAUAUGGUCCAAUGGAUUAGGAAAAUCAAGCUAAGGUCAUUUUUUUAUACUAAAUGCUUAAUUAAAAAGACAUCAUUAUAUGUUUUAUACAUGCACAAAUUGUCAUUUAUUUGAGGCAUGUCUAAUAUUUAGUGGAGUGACAAAUAUACUUGAAAAUUUAUAAAAAUUAUCAAAUAAUAUGUAAGAAAUAUAGUUAUUUUUGUUGUAAUAUUAAUGCAAUAAAUUUUUAUCGUAUCAUAUCGGCAUGUUUAAAGAGGGAAAAAAAAAACUCAGAGACUCAAAAACUCCAAACUUUAAUGUAUAGCUGGCAUUUAUUUGUAGGCUCAAUUGAAGUACAGAAGUCACAAUUCCAAACAACAAACAAGCUAUCAUUACUAAUCCACCAAAUUGGAAAACAUCCUCAAUUAAAUUAACCACCGCGCCUUUCCAGCUUAAGUUUUUCCAACGCUGAUAGUCCUUCUGUUGAGGAUUGGUUAUUGUAAAUAUCUUUUAAAGUAAUUGCAGGAUAGAGCGUAGGAUUUUCUUCGGAUAGCAACUCUUUAAUUGGACCACAUCGUCUCGAGCAACUGUUGUUCAUAAAAAAACUUCCGAUUGAAAUCCUUGAGCCUUCCUUUUUUGACAACACUCUGUGAUAGGCACUUUUGAACUUGUCAUUGGUGAUUAGCUGCAUAAACACACAAUAAAAAAUUCCACUAUAAUUAAGUUACAUGAUGGAUUAAUAAUAGUCAAAUUGAUACAUAACAUGUACCUGCCUGCAUCAUGUAACCUAAGUUUACAACUAGAGCUUCGGGAACAUGGGUAAUUACGAUCUGCAGUUUCCUAAUUUAACUCAUGCAUACGCGAGGCUUUUGUUUACCCUAGUUUUUAGUAUAAAAAGAGGCACGCAUCACAUAAUACGGCGGCAAGGAAUUAUCAUUAGAAAAAUUGGAGAGAAAAAGAAGAAGAAGAUCAUAAUUCAAGGGAACGGCUGCAGCAUCAUUGAAGAAUCCAGCAGAGUUAUUUGGAUUCACUUUUUGCCGUUCUCGACUUAUACCUUUCUUCUUUCUCUAACUGAUCUAAUGUAUUUCAUGAACAAUAUGUUGCUGAUUGUUUAUCUCUUUCAGAAUAUGAACUAAACUUGCUUGUAUUUGAGUGACAAAUAAUCUAAUGGGUUCUUGACUGUUCUUAUGAGUUGCUAUGUCAUGGCUGUAGCAUUUUACUCUAGUAGCUAUUAUUAUAACUGUUAUUUUGGUUGACCACCCAUUUAAUGGUUUAAGUUAAGAUAGGACUGUAAAAGGGCAUGUCUUAGUGGAUAUUAUUAGAGAAAUACUUUAUCUUAAUUUAAGUUUCCUAUAUUAAGUUUAUCUUGAAUCCCAUAAGGACCAUACUUGAAGUUAAGAUUUGUGAUAAACUAGACAUAAGUAUUCACCUUGUAGGGUGGAGAGAAUGGAUGUUCAUAAUGCCAUGCCAUAGGUAAAAUAGCAACUGGUCAUUGCGAAGAUGUUUACGAGUAUGAGACUUCCAAUAUGCGAUAGCUGAGGAUGCAAAUUAAAUUCUGCCCAGUGCUAUAGAAAUUGUUGUAGCAACUGGUGUUAACUUGAUGAAAAGCAGUCAGCCUAUAAAGAGAGUUUGAUCAUUCAACUACCUUAUUCUCAUUUGAUUCUUCGACGCAUUUUAUUUAAUUUGUUUCAUUACUGCAUUGUUUAACUUUAUUAUCUCACAAUUAUCAAUUUCAAUAGUAACCAACUUUACAUUUGUUAAUUUAGGAAUCAAGUUAGAUUACACUAUCGUAAUUGCUGUAGCAUUUCUAGUAACAUCAAUCCCUGUGGAGACGAUCUUGAAUAUUAAUCACGUUAUUACUUGUUGUGUAUACUUGCACAUUAGCAUAAAUAGAAUUUGAUAAAAAAUACCAACAAUGAGAUAGGGGUAAACUUCAGGAUGUGCUGCAGUUUUUAAUUGUUGUGCAGAUUCUUUUGAUUCCUAUCUCUAGUGGAGAACCAGAUGUGAUUUUGUGGGACCUUUCUCCUGAUGGUAGUUUUUCUUUGAAGACAACUUCAAAUAUUGUGCAUUGGACAAUGCCAAGUGAUGAGGCUUUUUUUGUUAUUUGGCAGCGACAUAUCUUUUCUUGGAUAUCUUUUUUUCUCUAGAGGUUGUGACACAAAUUCUUGACCACAGAUGAUGCCUCAUGUUCGGGGGAUUUCUGCAUAGUUUCUUAGUAUCUUUGCAGUUGGGCUUAUGAGACUUCUAGGUAUUUUCUUUCUUGAUUGCCCUCGAUUUGCGCUAUGUUGCUUUUUUGUUCCCUCGUACUUUAUUUCUUAAUUGGUAGUGAUGUGCCCUUUCUUGGAGCCAUAUUCGAGUUCUUCUUCCUUGUUUCAUUUUGUGGCGAGUUUAGAAGGCCUGUAAUGCAUUGAAGUUUGACUCAAUGGCCUUUUUUUUGUUGAUGUUGUUAUUUAUCGGGCAAUGUUGGAUCUUAGGCUUGCCAAUUCUGCCUUUGGUCUUAAACCAUCCCAACUGUGAGGAGUUCUAGGUUCUCGAUUUGCAAAGUGCUUGAGAGUUGUUGUUUCAUCCAGGAGGCUGAUUCUUUUAGUUUUUGGUUGUGGUCACCACCUGGGGUGGUGAAGCUGACUAUUGAUGGUUGCUUUAGGAGUAAUCCUAGGAUGGCUGCUUCAGAUAGUAUUUUACGUGAUGAUUAGGUUGUGGCUUUGGCUGCUUUUGGUUCCUUCCUUGGGUGCUAACUGAUCUUUCAUGCAGAAUUCAUGGCUGUUUUUGAGGGGUUAGAGUUGCUGCUCAGCUCCAUUAUUCUGUGCUUGACGUAGAGUCGGACUCAGCCAUGGUGGCUUCUUGGAUUCUUUUCUAAGGCCUUGUUCAUAUAGACUAUACCUAUUCUUUGCGUCGAGUGUGUAGUUUGACAUUUUCUUCUACUUCAUGGUUAGUCAUGUGCUUCGAAAGGCUACUUCUACUACUGAUUUCUUUGGCCUACACUCUUUAAGUUCAUCGGCGUUUCUUGGGUUCUCAAGAUAUCUCUGCUGGCUUAUCUAAUAAUCUUCGUUUGAAUUGUGGGUAAUUUAACAUAUCAGGCAAUAUAAUUGCUUAUUUUUGUGUUCUAUUUUUUAUCUUGUAUUUUUCACUUUUUCAUUCUUAUGUUCUUGCAAUUGCGGUUUUGAUUUAUAUUCACCUCCUUAUAUAUUUGAUUCAUUCUAUGAUUUAUAUGAAAGAUAGGAGUCCCACCUAAUCCUACCUUUUUGGUGGUUAAAAAAAAAAAGAUUAGGAAUCAAACCUAGGUCAUCAAGGUGAAACAUCAAUCAGGUUGUAAAUUUAACAUAUGAACGUAAAAGCUUAACAAAACAUUUGAAGUUGCUUGACAGCAUAGAAAUACAAGCAAAAAGAGAUGCUAAACAACACAAAAUUUUGAUUGGGUGGGAGUAUUGUUCAUGCUAGCAUAAUAAUGAGGUGCCUGAGAAUACCUAUGACUUUCUUGAUAAAUAAUAUCAUCUAAAAGGUUAAGAAUCACAGAUGAUUGUCCACGUAUGAACAAAUCUGGCUCCAAAUGUGAAAUGUAUUAAGAUUUUCAAACAUUUAAAUUAAUAGUUAAUAAUUUCGGACAAAGGAUACUUGGAGACCCUAAAGUUCAUUGAUUCUAUAUUAAAAGACAACACCGUUACUAAAAUUAUAAAUUAUAACAGUUAAACCUAAACCUACGUCGUUUAGCAAUUUACAAAAGAAAAAAAAUAUAACAAAAGCCAAUUGUUGGAGUAGCAACAUGCCAAAGAGAAAACCUCAAGCCAUGUAAUAUCCUGUAUCAACUAAAAAGGAACAAACCACCACCCUCAAGGCCGUCGCUGCACUAACGCUGGGCCCGAUUUGAAUAGUUAGAAGUUGUAACAUUAUUUAGGGAUUGAGGGUAAAAUUUUGGACUUUGAUUUAAUAAAAUUGAUUUAUAUGAGUCCCAAUAGAAAUAUAAUAAUAAAUAUAUCAAUACAAUUAUAAUAUGUUUAAAAGAAAAAAUUUAUUUUCACACAACAAAAAACACAACCUUUGGAUGUGGGAUGUGUCUAAAAAAUAAUAGGGUGGAAAUAUUAUCACCCUCAAAUUAGAUAUAUAAAUGUUUAAUGUUUUACUCUCAUAAUUUUCUAUUUACUUUUUUGAAUAUUGUUAAGAGAAAGAUAGAAGUUAAUAUAUAGACAAAUCGAGUCCCUUAUUUUAUUAUUCAUAUCCAUAAAAAGUAACCACUAUGCUAGUCCCCCGAACUUAGCAUAAGACGGUAAUUUAAAAAAAGAAAAAAAAAAGAACGUUUCUAGACACCAAAACGAAAGCAAAACAAACACAAAGCGAGACAUACAAACAAAUUUUAUGCUACUGCAUUCAAGCAGAAGCCAUCAACUGUUCACGACGAAGUUUGAGAGCAACCAAUAGUUCAUCCCGAUUAGGAAGAUUUUCUUCAAUCACAGGGACUUGCUUGAAAGUUUCAAUCCAGGCAUGCAAGUGAGGGAAUUUGUGUGAUUCAAAUAGUUUAGCGCCCACUAUAUCUUCAAUGACUUGCAACCAAUAAACAAUUGAACCAAACGCUAGGUCCACUAAGCCAAUAUUGUCUCCAUUGAAAAAUUUCUUCUCUCCCAAGCCAUGCUCUUCAACUGUUUGUAGCAUUUCCAAGGCUUCCUUCAUUGUGUUUUGUAGUUCUUGUCCAGUGCUACGAAACAUUUUCCAAACAGCAACACC
rnacentral:lncRNA from 1 species